CAUAGAUGCAAGCUACAACCUUUGUCAGUUUGGGAAGGAAAAUAAAUAUCCGACAAUUACUUUCCACCGGACAGUAAAAAUACCAAAUUUGUAUGACUUUCUUUUGCAAUAUCGAAUUGGUCUUGCAUAGAAACUCUCGCAGGUACUACUGUUCUGGAGGACAUACACACUACUCUCUUAGAAAAAAAAACUUACUUGCUGCACCCUGGAUGCAGCUCUCUGAUAGAUUACGGCAAGAUCAGGUAAGUACGCUUCUUGUAUAGUUUUGAUCUGCAAAGACAAAGCACCAUGGACACACACGGAUUACUCAUUACAAUGAUAUUUAUGUAAGAUCUCCUGUCGUGUUGCAUAUAUAUACAGCAAACUUAGUUGACAGCAAGACUAAGAAGCCGGAAGCAUUACCCAAAUUAGAAAAAAAGAAACUACCUUUUGGAAAACCUCCUCUUGCCAAUCAACCGCAUUUCCACUUUCCGUCUGUGCCGUGGAGUCUAGCGAUGUUACAAUUAAUAAAUAAAUAAAAGGUUUUGUUGAGCAUCAGAUCCUAAAGUAUUCACAAGGAUGUAAAGGCAUACAUGAUGGCAUCUCCUGGAGGGUUCUUUGGGAUUGAUACAGUUGUUGUCUCUGUUGGUCUCCGGAAGGCCUCCAAUUGUUGUUAUCCAUCUAAGUGUUCCCUACGGUUACAAACCACGAAAUGAAGAUAACCAAAACAUGACUCCACAAAAAUCACCAACCAACCCUAAUAGAAAAAUCAAAACCAGUUGCGUUCACUGAUCAGCUAAUUUUUUUCAUUUUUGUUUACUCUUGUUAACAAAAAGCGACAGACAGACUCAACCUCAAAGUAGCAUAUCAUAAAUCACACCCAAAAAAAAAAGGUUAAAUCUAUUCUCCUAAAUAGUAUGAGAACCGAGAACCACAACCUGUAAAGCGCGAUAGCUAGAUAAUAUGUCUUCUCGAGACUACUGAUCACAAGAGAAAACGAGAAUAGAAAAUUUCACCUCGAGGCGACUUCACGGUUUGUUACAAAGGAGUAGGAUUGAUCGGGAUGAAGAAGUAAAGGAUGUCCAAGUUUUCAAUGUCGUCGCGCGGCUUUUAAAUUACCAAAAACCCCUACAAUUAAUGAUAAAUUACUGUAUAAUCUUGCCAAGUGUCAACUACAAGUUCACUAAACCCCAAAUUUAACUGACCCACCAAUAUAAAGACGGCGCUUAGUCUCAUCAUGUGCUUUAAUUUUUUCAAUUGAUGUUUGAUGUCGGAGAAACCAGAAAUCAUCCCAAUUCCCAAUGGCAUACACUCGACCAUGUAUGGUUUAUUCAUGCCUUUUCUUGUUUUUUUUUUAACUCUUCAAGGUGUGUUCUUUAAUAUACAAAUAUAAAUUAUAUGUAUAUGGACUUGCUUUCCUUAGGAAGUUUUACGCCGUUUUGAAAACUCCUAUUGUUUGAUUUCGCUUCCCUCUUCCAUACUCUGCAUCCUUGAGGAUAUUUUGCUCAAGUAAUCCACCUGAAACUCGAAAUGAACACACAACAUCAAGAACGAAAUAAGGGGUGGAUGAACACAUUGAGGUUAAUAAAAUAAAAUUUUAAAAGUGAAACCUGACUUGUCGCGGUGUUGAAAAUUAACUCCUCGAAGCUGACAGCAACUCUCAUGAGCUCUUCGAUUCCUUCUUUCCCAGAAUAUGGAAUAUGUUUCUUCAGUGUUUCCAAUCUACUCAAAUGACAAAAGUAACUUGUCUAUCUAUAACCAUAUUCAUAGGGUCAAAGCAAUACAACAAAACUUUGUGAAACAUUCAGAAUUUUGAACAUUAAAUUGACUUAGGAAUGACAAAAGAGUAGCAAGAGUGAGAAAAUAUGACAAAUUUGGAAGAGGAACAAAACUCACAGUGUGUUGACAUUCUUCUGGCGUGAACCUGGUGGAUGUUGAGUUCUCCAGUCACCUCUGUUUAUGCCAAGAUUACCUAUGUGGACAAAGCAAAGUGUUUGCAUUAAAUUCAUAGAAAUUCUCCCAGCUACUAGUGUUUCGGAGGACAUACACACACUACUCUCUUAGAGAAAAAAAAUAUCGUAACGUACUUUCUCCAACUUGGCUGAAGCUCUCUGGUAGAUUUCGUGAAGUUCUGCUAAGUACUUUUCGUUUAUAGUUCUGAUCUGCAAAGACAAAGCACCAUGUGGUCACACGAUUAUUCAUUGCAGUGAUAAUCUUGACACUUUAAUAAGCGUAGACAGAAUUAGUACUAUAUAUAGCGAACUUAUUUUAUCUCCCAGAAUUCAGCAAGAGUAAGAGGACACUACAGAAGCAUUAACUAGAAAGAAACAACUACCUUUUGGUAAACCUCCUCUUGCCAAUCAACACCAUUUGCACUUUCCAUCUGUGCCGUGGAGUCUACCAAUGCUAAAAUUUAUAAAAACGGCGGCAUCAGAUCCUGCUGAGGUGGGAUUAUGUAAAGUAUGAGAAACUAAAGUAUUCACAAGGAUGUAGAAAAAGCAUACAUGAUGGAAUCUCCGGAAGGGUUCUUUGGGAUUGAUAUAGUAGUUGUCUCUGUUGGUCCACUACAUUUUGAGGUGGAAGCAGAGAACCUGUGACUUGACCUGAAGAUUGUAGCCUCUGUUAUAGCAGAUUAGGUUGUUGUUGCAAACCUAACUGCUGAUGAUGCGACAGUUGGCCCUGAAACAGAAACAAGCCAUGAGCAGCCUGAUGCAGCCCAACGGUUGGCUGUGAUAACAUGUGCACCGACUGCUGGUUAGUCUGGGAACUGAGCAACUGUUGUUGUGGUUGCUGCAGUCCUGCAACACUUCUUUGAGUGCCUAAUGGUUGCUGAUGAAGGCUGUUUUGUUGAGACAUCAAAUGCUGUGGCAACUGAUUUCUCCAGUCACCAGGUUCUCCUUUUGGAACGGAAGGUCUCCAGUUGUUGUUAUCCAUCAAGUGUUCCUUCCUACGUAUACAAACCUUGAAGAGAAAAUAACCAAAAAAAAAAAAACUUGAGGAAACAAACGACCACACACACAAGACAAGAUGGGUUAUAUGGACUAGGCCUGGGCCUUCGGUGGUCCGUUCGGUUUCGGUCCGGGUGAUUCGGAUUUUUGGUAUUAUGCUCAUAUGUAUCAUUUGGUUUUUACUAAUUAUCGGAUCGGGUUCGGUUCAGUUUCUUCAGGGCUCGGUUCGGAUCGGAUUUAACCAAUGUUUAAAAUCGUACAAAAAUAUAUUUUAAAAAACCCCCAAAAUUGACUAAAAUUUUUUCAAAAUAUAUAAAUUAUUACAAAUUUAUUUAAAAAUUAGUUAAACUAUCUAAAUUAACUAAAAAGUAUUCAAAAUAACAAAUAAAAAAAAUUACAAAAAUAUUUUGAAUACUCUAAAAUAUCUAAAUCACCUUAGUAUAUAUAAAAACAUUAACAUAUUUAACUAAUUUCGGAUUUCGGUUCGGGUUAUAACCAAAAUCCAAAAUAGUAAGCUCAUAAGUCCCAUUCGGAUAUUUUUAUAAAACAGUUCGGAUUCGGUUUAAAGUCGAACUAAAACGUAUGUGUUUGUGUAAGACUUUUGUAUAACAAAACAGUUGCUUCGUUUUAUUAAUCUUUCUUCUCUCCAGUUGCUUUGUUUUAUUAAUCUUUCUUCUCUCAACUUUCUUAAGAUCUCUCUUACAUUGGAUCUGUUUAUAUAUGCAAUAGAAAACUUAGCUUUAUCCUAUUACAAUAUGAUCUAGGAAUCUUAACUUAAUCCUAAACCUAUUAGGCUUUAGUUAUUCAAAUUUCCUUUUUGAAUAACUUGUUUCCUAAGUAACAACUUGAAGCUUAUCCAACAUUCUCCCUCUUAAGCUUCAUAUCUUCUUUGCUUAAGUUGAGAACUUGAAUUCGAUCCCUCAUUUCUUUGAACUGAAUCCUUGCCAAAGCUUUAGUCAAUAUGUCCGCAAGCUGAUCUUUUCCAGGGACAUAUUCAACGUCAAUCAGACCUCUUUCAACGCAUUCUCGUAUAAAGUGAUACUUCUUAUGAAUGUGUUUGCUUCGUCGGCGAAAGACUGGAUUCUUGGUUAAGGCAAUAGCUGACUUGUUGUCCACACGGAUCAGUGUCUUUGCGAUCUUCUUCCCUGUAAUCUCGCUCAUCAAGUCUUGAAGCCAAAUGGCUUGCUUUGCAGCUUCAGUUGCAGCCAUAAACUCGGCUUCACAAGACGAGAGAACCACAGUUUCUUGCUUUUGAGAACACCACGUUAUAGGAGUUUCGCCGAAACAGAACAAGUGUCCGGUGGUGCUCUUGCCAUCGUCAGGAUCUGUGUUGUGACUACUAUCGCUGAAACCAAUGAGAGAUUGUGAUCCAAGACCUUUGAACUUUAGACCGUAUCCCAUAGUUCCUUGCAAGUAUUUCAGAACGUUCUUUAGUACGUUCCCAUGAGAUACACGAGGGGAAUGCAUGUACCGGCUGAGUAUUCCAACAGAGAAGGCUAAGUCGGGCCUUGUGUGUAACAAGUAUCUUAGACAUCCGAUCCUUCUCCUAAAGAUCGUUGCAUCGAUCUCUGCUUCCUCUGUUGAUUUCGACAGCUUUAAACCAAACUCCAUAGGUAUUUGGGUUGAGUUGCAAGCGUCCAUCUUUGCUUCUUCCAGUAUGCGUCGUGCAUAAGCUUCUUGUUUGAUCUCUAUACCGUCAGAGCCUUGUUUUACUUCAAUACCAAGGUAAUAAGUUAGUUUACCAAGGUCUGACAUUUCAAACUUCUUUGCCAUUGCUUUCUUAAACUCCAUGAUCGAGCUGAGUGUAUUUCCAGUAACAAACAGGUCGUCAACAUAGAUAGCUACUAUCAAAAGCUUCUUGCCUUCUUCCUUCCGAUAGACUGAGUUUUCUUUUGAGCACUUGACAAAGUUUAAGCUCUUCAGGAUCUGAUUAAGCUUUGUGUUCCAUGCCCGUGGAGCUUGUCGAAGUCCAUAUAAAGCCUUAGAAAGUUUGAAAACUUUGUGCUCUUCUCCCUUCUUUUCAAAACCUUCAGGCUGUGCUACAUAUACGUCUUCGUUUAAUUCUCCGUGCAGGAAGGCUGUUUUGACAUCUAAGUGGUGGAUCUCCCAUUGACUUGUAGCAGCUAAACCUAUCAAGAGCCUGAUUGUUUCUAUGCGUGCUACAGGUGCAAACACCUCGUCAAAAUCAAUCCCAAGUUCUUGGACAUAUCCCUUAGCUACCAAUCUUGCUUUGAACUUGAUUAUAUUGCCAUCUGCAUCACGUUUAAUCUUAAAGACCCAUCGAAGACCAAUAACCUUUACUCCAGAUGGCUUAUCGAUCAAUACCCAAGUUUCAUUCUUGUUGAUUGAGUCAAUCUCGUCUGAGCAUGCUACUCUCCAUCGCUUACUUUUGCUUGCUUCCUGGUAGCUACGUGGUUCAUCAUCGAGUGAUAGAAGGAGCAUCUCACACUCUAGAUUAGCCAUUAGCAGAUAAUCAUCUAGGUAGCUUGGACGAGAAGUUUGUCGAGUUGAUCUUCUAGGUUCAGGCAUCUCUGUUUCUUCGGACCCUGUGUCUUCCACUUGAUCAUGAUUGUCUACGGUUGUUGCAUCUUCUGUGUUUAUAACUUGAUCCGUAGCUACUUCUGUAACUUCUUCUUGCUGCGGUGUGAUGCUGAAGGGACCAUGGCCAACAUCCAUUGUCGUUCCCCAAGAUAGUUGGAACAUACCAGGCUCGCUUGUCUUCUCUUUUUCAUCUCCCUUCCACUUCCAGCAAGCCUUCUCAUUAAAGAUCACGUCGCGGCUUACAACUAUACGUCUUGCUGUAGGAUUAUACAGUCUAUAAGCCUUGGAUCCUGGUUCAGUUCCGAGAUGAACUAGGGUCUGUGAUCUAUCGUCAAGUUUUCUCACGAGAGCAGCGUCUAUCUUUGCGUGAGCAAUGCAACCAAAUACCUUUAGGUGACCAAUGCUCGGCUUUCUUUUCUUUAGACUCUCAUAUGGUGUCUGAUUCUUUAAUGCCCUUGUAGGAACACGGUUGAUCAGAUAAGUAGCGUGACGUACAGCCUCACCCCACAUAUAAUUUGGAACGUUCAUAGCCUUUAGAAGGCUACGAGACAUUUCCAUUAAUGUGCGAUUCCUUCUUUCAACCACACCAUUCUGCUGCGGUGUGUAUGGGGCGGUAAGAUGACGUUUAAUGCCACUUUUAUUACAGAAAUCCUGAAACUCUCUUGAUGUGAACUCUCCACCUCUGUCCGUUCGAAGUGUCUGAAUCUCUUUGUUAACGUCCUUCUCAACAAGCUUCUUGAAUUCUUUAAACUUUUUCGGAUUUCGGUUCGGGUUAUAACCAAAAUCCAAAAUAGUAAGCUCAUAAGUCCCAUUCGGAUAUUUUUAUAAAACAGUUCGGAUUCGGUUUAAAGUCGAACUAAAACGUAUGUGUUUGUGUAAGACUUUUGUAUAACAAAACAGUUGCUUUGUUUUAUUAAUCUUUCUUCUCUCAACUUUCUUAAGAUCUCUCUUACAUUGGAUCUGUUUAUAUAUGCAAUAGAAAACUUAGCUUUAUCCUAUUACAAUAUGAUCUAGGAAUCUUAACUUAAUCCUAAACCUAUUAGGCUUUAGUUAUUCAAAUUUCCUUUUUGAAUAACUUGUUUCCUAAGUAACAACUUGAAGCUUAUCCAACACGGUUUUGGUUUUUCCGGUUCGGGUUAAGGUCGAUAUUUCAGGUUGAGUUAAAAACGCCUAGGCCUAAUAUGGACACUGAGAAAUCCGAUUUUAUGCCAAGAUUCAGAGCAGCUAGGCUAAUAAUAAUAGCAAGUUUGAGCCACGGAAUCACCAAUUCUAAAGAAAAUCAAAAUCAGUUGACUUCACUGAUCAGUCAAUUUUUUCAUUUCUGUUUGCUAUUGGUAGCAAGAAAGAGACAGAGUCAACCUCAAAGUAGCAUAUCCGACAAAACGAGUAAGCUCAAUCGCACCAACAAAGUCAAAUCUAUUCUCCUAAAUAGUAUUAAGAACCGAGAACCACAAUCAAUAAAGCGUGAUGGCUAUAUAGUAGUAUGUCUUCACGAGACUCCCGAUCACAAGAUUUGAAAAUUUUACCUCAAAUAUCCAAAGCGUGUCGAGGCGAAUUCACGGUUGCUACAAACGAUUAGGGUUGGAGAAACGGAAUUGAACAACAUAUAAAGGAUCUUUGUGGUCAAACGUAGAAUCAUAACCUGACUCCAUUAUGUGUCCUCGCAACUUAUAGCUUACCAAAGUUUUCAAAGUCGUCGCUGUGGCUAUUUAGUUACGACAAACCCCUCCAAUUAAAUGAGAAAUUACAAGAUGAACCAGCCAACUACGAGUCACUUUGUACGACGACGUUUAUCUCAUCAUAUGGUUUAACCCAAUGUCUUAAACACGACCGAACACUGAACCGGAUGACAAAAAAAAGUCAAAGGAUAUACAGAGUAUAUGUGGCAAAGGAGAAAUUUAAAUGUUUUUCACUUUUUAUUUCAAAUAUAGAACAAAAUGUAAUCAGGAAAUUUUGAAAAUUUAAGAAAAAAAAAGCUUAUUUUGGCCCAUGUUUCAAUCGCUGGCCAUAAUUUAAAUGUUUUUACGAGUUUUGUCAGAUUGCUAAAUAAUAGAUAUUUCAUGAAGAAAUAAAUAAGUUAGUUAUCAAAAUCACCAAAUUUGCCUGUUUGACCGCGGAUCUAAAUCAGAUAUAAAACACUUGUUUAAUCUUUUACAGCGAUUGUAGGGUGUAUCAAUAAGGAAACCUAUUUAUAAGUGGUACUGGUAACUCUGUUUUUGUUUUUAACCAAAAAAAAAAGAAAAAACUUUUUCAAUUGAUGUUGGAAAAACCAGAAAUCAUCCCAAAGUAAGUAUACACUUGACAUGUUUAUCCAUGUAUUUCCUUUCUAACUCUUCAAGGUGUGUUCUUUAUAUACAAAUAUGUAUAUGGACUUUGCUAUUCCUAGAAUAAUUUAAACCGCUUUGAGAACACUCCCCUUGUUUGACUUAGGUUGCCUCUUCCAAACUCUGCAUCUUUAAGGAUAUUUUGCUUAAGUAAUCCACCUGAAACUCGAAAUGAACACACAACAUCAAAAAACGAAACGUAACACAUUGAGCUUAAUCAAAAUAUAGUGAAACCUGAUUUCUCGCAGUGUUGAAAAUUAACUCCUCGAAGCUGACAGCAAUCCUCAUGAGCUCCUCAAUUCCUUCUUUCCCAGAAUAUGGAACAUGUUUCUUCAGUGUUUCUAAUCUGCUCAAACGACAAAAGUAACUUCUCUCUCUUUAAGCAUAUGCACUAUGUCAAAUCAAUACCGACAACGUUUUAUUUCUACAGAUUUUUAUCAUUAAAUUGGCUUUGGGGAGGAAAUGAGUAGCAAGAGUGAGAAAAUAUGAACAUUUUGGAGGAACAAACUCACAGCUUGUUGACAUUCUUCUGGCGUGAACCUGGUGGAUGUUGAGUUCUCCAGUCACCUCUGUUUAUGCCAAGAUGACCUAUGUGAAUAAAGCAUUGACAACAGAUUUCUAACUCCAUUUAAAACCUUCAAGAGAAACAAAUCAAGUGGGAAAAUGGAUGCAACUGAGCUCCAACAUCCAUUUAUUACACACUUAAAAUGGACUAAAAUUUACCAUAUCCAAAACAAGCUUCUGCUACUACAUGAAGGACUUCAAUCUCGGAGAAAGAAAGUCAUUUACCUAGAUCCAAGGGUAGGCUGUUGCUGGCAGCAAGGAGAGAUAUCUUUGCGGAUAUUUGGCGAAGGUAAUCAAUCUGGAUGUUUAUAUAAAAUAUCAGACCAAAAAACAAGUUAUGAAUUAAAUCAAGAAGGUAUACAUUGAUGUUGUAAAGCCAGUGAAUCACCUGGUGAUCAGCACUGUUGAAAAUAUUCUCCUCCAAUCUGGCAGCAAAUCCCCUGCGCUCGUUGGAUCUCUCUGUCCCGGAAUGGUGCUUCACUAGUGUAUCCGUUCUACAUUAUAUAAUUAUUGGGUGAAACGAGAUAUGAAACCAUAACAAUAACACUCUAUUUCUAAAGGCUAUAACAUCAAACUGGCUUGGGGGAAAUGAUAGUAGGUGAGAAAGAUGACAGCUCUUUUGAAUGAGACAAAACAAACUCACAUAUUGUUGACAAUCAUCUUGCGAGUAGCAGGUGGCAGUUGAGCUCUCCAGUCUCCAGUGUCCACGGCAGAUUCUCUGUUGGGAAGAUAAGAAGGCCUCAGACUGUUAUUGUCCAUUAGGCUUCCUACAUCGACAUUAGCCUUACCGGCUAUAGCAAUCACAACAGUUACUCAAACUUUAGAUACAAAUUCUCUUCUUCGUUUUUUGAAAAGUUCCUUUUGGUUUAACUACAAAAGGUUACAAGCGACAAAACAACCUUCUAAUGCAAGAUGGAGUAAUUAGAAAAUAUUUUGCUAGGCUUACGAAAAUAGAGCACAAAGGGAUUGAUUGUUAGUACCCGGAUCAGCUGCAUUUUUAACCGUGUUUUCUAUCGUCAGCACCUCUAAGGAUAUUUUCCGAAGGUAAUCAUUCUGAGACUCAAAAUAAAAAAAGGGAAAAUUAGACCAGAAGCAUGACAUGAGACAAAUCUGGAAGGCAUACAAAAAUCAAAUAUAUGGCUACCAAAUGUCAGUUCUUUAGUCCAAUUCCAUCGGUAUGUUUAGGACACUAGAGAAAACAAAGAAGAGAUGUUGAGCAUAUUACCAAGUUAGCAGCAGUGUUGAAAACUUUAUCCUCAAAUCUGGAGGCAAUUUUACUGUGCUCGUUGACUCCCUCUGGUCCAGAAAAUGGAAGGUGUUGUUUCUUCAGUGCUUCCGUUCUGCGCUAACAGAAAAAAAGUUAUUUAAGUUAAAACCAAAACAAAAUCAAGAAACUGUGGUGGAACCGUCCAUGUGACAUAUACAUUAGGCUGAGAAACAUAAUCUAAUAGAUAUAAUAAAACGUACAUCAUGUUGACAAUGCUCUCACGUGCAUCAGACUGCAAUUGAGUUCUCCAGUCUAAUGUGUCAAUCGCACGUUCCCCAUUGGGACAAGAAGGCCCCAUUAAGUGUGUGUCCUGCCUUUACAAUCCACAAAGCAUCAUCAAAUACCGGACAAAUGAGAUUCAGAAGGAAGAAUCUUAACUAUUACAAACAAAACGACUUCAUCUACUCUCAUUAUUGUAAGAAUACGAAACACUUUCUCUCGAAUCCAAGCCACAAGGGGAAAAAAUCUCAAAGCAAAGCCCUAGAUUCGAGAAAACAGAAACGAAAUUAGGAAACUGGACCUUGAAUCGACGAUGAGAUUACGCAGUUUCGAGGUCAAAGUCGCAGACCAGCGUUCCCUUUACAGCGAAGGAAACCAAAGGGCGGAAGAACAACGGGAAAGGAGAAAUUGAAGUCAGAGCUAGGGCUUUUAUACUAUGGCCCAUUGAGCUUAAACAAGCCCAAACUAAUUUAACUUUUUAACUCCUUUAAUCAUGGUUACUUCCGUUUUGUUUUGAGUGACAACAAUAAAAUCAAAAGUAACGCAAUGCUUUUGAAUCUUCUUCUUCUUCUCCUCAUUAUUAGGAUAAUAACAAUAUUAACUAUUUUAUACUUGUGGAAAGAAUCUUGUAUGUAACUAAAGAAGGUUUUACAUAAGCAUAUAUAUAUAUAUAUAUAUAUAUAAAUGUUGGUUAAUAUGAGUUGUAACCUGAAAAAUUAUGAAUUAUAUACUUAGAUAACGAUUGAAUCGCCGUGCUUUCCUUAAAGAAUACCCUAUUCCGAGCUUUGGGUUACACAAAAUCUCUUUGUAGGAUAAAACAAUCAAAGUCUCACUCUUGUUUUAAGCUAAGAUACAAGAUAAACAAAUAGAGCUUUAGUAUUUAUAUGUGUUUUUUCAAAGUCUUUGAUGAUUUUUGAAAAAUAAAUAUUUUUCUCUCUCUUUCUUACUAACUAUUAGUUUCUGAUUUUUUCUAUAUAUAUUUGCCAAUGCCUACACAUCCUUAUGUAGAGAAUGAAAAGUUGCAACCAAUAGUUGCAAUGGUUACACCAAAAAUUGCAAAAAUUAAUGAAAAUUGCAAUAGUUAGUAAAGAGUUACAAUGGUUAAUCACCAAAUAUGGUUAAUUACCAAAGAUUGCAAUCAUUAAUGGUUGCAAUGUUUCAUUAUAUAGUUUGAUGCAGAGAGAAUAUUUAGGAAUAUUCUAAUAUUUUAAUUAUUUAAAGUUUUAUUUAUUAUUAGGAUAAUUAUCUUUAUGUGUUAGGGUUUUUAUGUUUUCUUAUAUAUAGUCUUUGAGGCUAUGGUUUUAUAAAAUUUAUGAGUUUAUGAAUUGAUGAUUUAUUAAUAAAAUUGAGAGUUCUCUCUUUGUUGUUCCUUGCUUUCGGUAGAUCAUUGGUGAUCUCAACGAAUUUAAGAAAACAUUGAUCUUAGGCAUUCUUAGACUAAAUAAGAUCUUUGUGAUUAUCCUAGUUGUCCGGGUAUUCUCAGAAUCAACGGAUCUCAGAAUCGAAAGAUUACAUUUCGAGAUAUACUAAUGACAUUUGAUUCUAAAUCCAAGACCUUAUAUCCUUUAUAGCCAGUAGCAUAUCCUAAAAAGACACACUUAUUUGCUCGAGGACUAAACUUGUUUCGAUCCUUAAGAUAUGUAGAAACAAAGCAUAAGCAGCCAAAUGAGCGAAGAAAAGAAAAGUCAGGUUGUUUCUUAAAAAGUAUCUCAUAAGGAGAUUUCUUAUCUAAUAACAGAGGAGUUCUGUUAAUCAGGAAGACGGCAAUAAGAACACAUUCAGACCAGUAUGUAAGUGGCACAUUAGAUUGAAAUAAUAAUGCGCGUGCUACAUUCAAUAAGUGUUGAUGUUUUCUUUCGACAACGGAGUUUUGCUGGGGAGUAUAUGCACAGGAAAACUGAUGAAGAAUGCCUUUUGUUUGAAAAAGUUCUUUUAAAGCCAACUCAGGAGCAUUAUCACUUCGCACUUUCUUAACAACAACAUGAAACUGUGUUUGAACAUGAGUAAGAAAGGCAGGGAAAACAGUUUUAACAUCACUUUUAUUACGCAACAUGUAUAGCCAAGUCACCCGAGUACAAUCAUCUACAAUAGUAAGGAAAUAACGAAAUCCUUCUAUAGACUCAACUGAAAAAGGACCCCAGAUGUCUAUAUGAAUAAGAUCAAAUGGGUUUACAGACAAUGUGUGAUUAGAAAUGAAAGGUAAGCUACGUUGUUUUGCUAAAGGACAGACAUGACACGGUGUUGUAUUGACUUUAGACGACAAAGGAAUACCAGGAAUGUGAUGUAACUUGGCAAAAGAUGGAUGUCCUAGACGUUGAUGCCAUAGAGUCCCAUCAACCAAUGAACCACAGAAAGAAUUUGAAAAAGAAUGCGAGACAGGCUUCAGAAUGUAAAGACCAUGCAUUAGCAAUCCUUUACCAAUCGUCAAGUCCUGAAUAUGGUCCUGUAUAAAGCAAGAAUCAUAGUAGACAUGAGUAGACAAAUCACGAUUUUGCAGUAAUGAACUAACACUCAACAGAUUGAAUUUGAAUGAGUCAACAUGCAAAACAUUAUGAAGAACAAGUGCAUCAGAGAUUUUCACUGUCCCCGUCUGACUGAUAGGAAUACUAGUGCCGUUAGGAAGAGAGACUGUCACACCUGAAAUUGGACAAACCUCACUAAACAAACUUAAGUCAGAGCAGACAUGACUAGUAGCACCACUAUCGACAAUCCAGCAACCAAGGGGUAAAAUAGAAUAAAGUGAAGAGAGGCACUGAUGUUGAAAUGUUAAAAUUUGAUUUUCAAAACGAAGAUUAGUGGAAGGAAACGCAAUUGAAACUGUACCAGCUGUAGAUGUUGAGGCCAUGAAACCAUGUUCAGUAAUAGUGCCUGAUGGUUGUUGAGAAACAGGUUGUUUGUCAUUGACCCUUGUCUGAGCAAUCAGCUGUGUUAACAAGCUCUGAACCUGAUCAGUAGUAAACUGGUGUAGAUCCAGAGAAGGGCUUGUUGUGGAGACAGCAUUAGCAGUAGCAGGGUGAGAAUGUUGCAACUGAGACUGUGAAGGGAAGUUGGGUUUCUGAUUAGAUUGUGCUUGUCCACGAGGAGUCGUUGGCUUCUGAUGCAACUUAUGACCUGGAGGAUAGCCAUGAAGCUUAUAGCACUUCUGUACAGUAUGUCCAGUGCGGCUACAAUGAGUACAAACAGGCUUUUACGGGUAACGAUUGCCCUGAAAAGCUGCAGCAUAUGCAGUAUUCUCAGCAAGACCAUUGUAAAAACCAGACUCCAUCGAACCAUUGUGAGACAUCUCAGUUGAAGACGAAUGUUGAAAUGCCACAUUAUCCAUUCGAGUAGUCGGCUUAAGUGUCUUCUGUCGCUCAUCUUGUGUAACCAUGUUGAACACAUCCUCAAUAUCAGGUAUCGGUUUAAGCAUAAGAAUAUGACGCCGGGUGGAUUCAUAAGCUUCAUUAAGACCCAUCAGAAACUUCGUAACUCUGCUUCUCUGCUGCAUCUUUUCCCAAAGCAAAGCCGCAUUACAUUCGCAUCUUCCACAAGUACAAACCGGUAUCUCAACGUAAUUCUUAUACUCUUCCCAAAGAGUAACAAGUUCUGUAUAAUACGUACUGAUAUCCAUCGAACCUUGCUGUAUCGUGCUCAAUCGCUGCUCAAUCUCAUAGACUCUUGGUGCAUCGUCCUGCUUGAAACGAGCCAACAAAUUCUUCCAUAUUGACUCAGCAGUGGACAUAAACAACAAGCUUUGGCCAAUUUUCUUGGAGACGGAGUUCAUGAGCCAAGUCGCCACCAUAUCAUUGCAUCUUGACCAAGAACCAGAAUCACGAUGGUUGAGAGGAGGCUUGGGGAUCGUGCCGUCGAUAAACCCCAGUUUGUUACGAACAUUCAACGCCAUUCGUACAGAUCGACGCCACGAAUGAAAUUCAGAUCCAGAGCUCAAUCGAUCAGUAACCAGAACCAAUCCAGCAUGAUCAGUCGCGUGAAGAUAGUAUGGAUUCUCAUAUAGAUCCGUAAUCGACCGAGAUGAUGGAGAAACUGGCUGUUGCUGACUCGCAGAGCUCAUCGUAACAAGAUAUGAUGAAAGAAGUGAACAAGAUCAACAAUCCAACACAAAGAAAGCUCCAAAAACGAAGAUCGAUCAGCAAGAUUCAGCUCGGGAUACCUUCCGAAGCUCAGAACAGCUCAACAAGCAACGCAAGGAGGAAAAAGAAAGCGAUUCGCGAUAGAAAGUCAAGCAAAGUGAGAAGGAAUUGAGCGCAGACGACAAGGUUAAUCUCGCGACGCGAUAAGCUCAUCCUUGAAUCAAUUUGAUGAAGAAGAAGAUCGAGAAUCAAUGGCGGAAGCUCAGAUAUGCUCUGAUACCAUAUUAAGAAAGUUGUUAUGAAUAUGAAAAAUACUUUCUCAACAGAAAAUGUACAUACAGACUCUGUAUUUAUACAUAAGCGCAUACGGUUUAGUAAAAGGAGGCUAAACCGAUGUCUUACCAAAAUGAUUAAGCAAAAGGAAACUUAACCAAAUAUAUAAUCUAACCGGUACUCUAAUAAUUGGCUUGAAUCAAAAGAGUCUUCUUCUUCUGAGUAAUACUCCAUGGCGUAUCUUCUGUCUUUUCUUAAUGUUUACCUUGCACAAACAGAUAAAAGAAGAAUCAAUUCGUGGCUAGACAAACAAAGGAAAGAAUAAUGAGCAAAAUGGAAACUUAUUAAUUUUUUUUUUUUUUUGAAAAGUUUGAAAACAAGAAUGGAAAAUUCCUUCUUUUUUUUUUUUUAAUAUAUAUCAGAAGCAGCACGAAAUAUAUUUAAAAUAAACAAAGAAACAAGUUUUUAUUUUGGUUUUCAGAUUAAUGGAAACACAGAACACUUUUUUUUUUAAUGCAAAUAAAUCAAAAAAGAAAACUAGGAAAUGAACUAAUGCAAAAAAAGACUAAAUGUUUUUUUUUAUAUAUAUAUAUAUAUAUUUAAAUGUACAAUAUAACUACUAUAUGGUAUGCACGAAAUGGGCAUGAAACAAUAUAUGAGAUUUUUUUUUUUUUAAAUUUUAAUGAUGCAACAUAAAUGAGAAAAAUUCAAAAUGAGAGAUUUUAUGGUAUGCAAAAUUAAAUAUGGAAAGGGGAGCUGGGGGAAAUGAAUGCAAACAACUAAACUAAUAUGUUAAAGGAAUUUCGUGGAUCAAACUAACAAAACUCUUUCUCUUUUUAAUUUUCUUUUCUCAAGAACACAAAAUGCAGAAAUUCAAACUUGAAGCAAAUAACAAUUUUUAUGGUUUUUUUUUUAUUAUUUUAUAAAUGAAAACUAGCAAGGAAUGAAAAGAACAAGUAUAGAUAUGGAUUGAUAUCACCUGAUAUAGGAGCUUUAAGCUCUGAUACCAAAUGUUGCAGGCUGGGAAGCUGGGUCGAUGAGAUGGAUGGUCGAUGGGUUGAUCUUAUCGGUAAGGAUGAAGACCGGAUGGAAAGAUGGUGAAGAUGGACGACUUGCUUUUCCUUUUAAUCCAAUCUAACCUGGAAACAAUGAAGAACAAUGGGUUUAUGAAUAAUUAAAAUAAGAACAGAAACUGAAAAGAUAAAGGGAUGGAAAGAUUGAUGAAUAGUUGUUUGAAGAUGGAAGAUGGAUAGAUGAUGUUGGAUAGAAGAUGAUUGACUCUCUCAAUCCGUGGGUUUGAUUGACUCUCUCAAUCUGGAAUAACACUGGCUGUUGAAUCACUCAAACAACCUAUGCUAGACGAAUCAAUAGAACACAAGAAUCACUCAAGUAUCCUAAAGACAGAUUUCUAUUCAAAGACUCUCUUUGAUAAAAAUAAACAAACUGAAUAUUAUUUCUUAAGGAUUGAAAGGUGAAUCUAAAGUAUACAAAUGGGUCUGCUUAUAUAGAGCAUGACCUCAGACAAAGACCAAACGGUCACAAAAAAGAAAGGAAACAAAAACUAAACAAGGAAACCGAUAAACUAGCCGUUAGGAGAAUUUCUUGGUUCCAAUGGCUUUCUUCAAGGGAUUUGAUUCUGGUUUUGUAUCUGGACGGUUUGAGGCUGUAAGUGAGCUUCUUGGGAACUUCUUUACUGAAGAAAUAUGUAUAGAAGUCGUGCCAAUCUUGAUGGUAAAAGAGCUGUUGAGAAUUGAUGGCUUUUGACUCCAAAAAUGGCAAGUAUGGUCUUGUUUGAUUCUGAAUAAUCUGAUGGAUGUUGGUGCAUUGUAAGAACGUCUCUGACUCUCCUGGACGUUUGGAUUGGUCUCCUGAAUGGUUAGAUGUCUCUCCUGAUCGCCAAUGUCUGGUUUGCAAUUGAUUGAACCGGUCAGCUUCCAAAUAAGGCAAGUGCAGAACUGGUUUGUCCGGUUUUGAGAAAUUGAUCAUAACUCCAUAUUUCCGUGGACUUUUCUUCCCAUUCUUGGCUUGUUGGAAAGCUAAGAGAUCCUUCUUGAAGUCCAAGCUUUGGUUUGGGUCGGAACGCUUCUUUUUUGGGCUUGAAACAACUUCUAAACUCGGAUACUCGCAGAUGGACGGGAUGGAGAACCUCCGGUUUGUAAAAUUCAUAUCUUCCUGGUCCGAGUAUCUUUGAUGAUGAUUCCAAUUGGGAUUGACUCCUUGUUGAGCGUAGAGUGCAGGAAAUUUAGUUUCAUGGACAAUGUCUUCCUGGUUGGUGAGAUACGCCGUUUUGAUUGAACACAUAUCCUGGUGAGUCUUUGGAUUAGCUGUUUGGUGCAACUGGUUGGCUUCUGGUUCAGGUACUGAUUUGAUGACCGCAUCACUAACCGUUCGUUCCAGUUCUGAAUCAUCACAAGUGCUGGAGCGGGCAACGCACAUCGGGUUGAUGAAGUGGCCGUACCAUGAGCGUGAGCUGGAGCGGGUGAUGCUAGCGAGGAGAAGAAACCGCUCGGGACCUCGAACAAACUCGAAGCUGCACAGCGGCUUCUCAAAACGGGCUGAUGAAACCGCUGUGGUCAUGGCACUGCUCAGAGCGGCUUAGUGGAGCGAGGAGAAGAGGCCGCUCGCUUUGGUGAUCGUUGUGGAAUUUGCCAGGUUCAUUCUUAUCAAGGAUAAUGAGUAACAGGAGCAGCAGCAAUCGUUUUGAUUAUUUAAAGUUGCAAGCUUUUUUCUAGAUUUAGUGCAUCAUGGGCAGAUGUGGCUGACUCUGAGAAGGCUGCAUCUAGGGCAAAGCCUGCUUAUGUUCCCACACAUCUAAGGAACAUGCAGUCUGAGCCUGUUGCUCCUUUGCUACAAAAUGAUCGUCCGGGGUAUGGUGGUCAACCAUCUAGAUGGGCUCCUGGAGGUGGAGUUGGUGGAGGCGGUGGCUACCGGAAUGAUGUAGGGCGUGCCGGCCAAGGUUAUGGUGGAGCUUGUGCAGGAGUAUUGAUUUCGAGCUUUCUAAUUUUCGUUUCAGGUAGUUAACUUAUUUUGAGCUUUGUAUUCGAAAAUGGCUGAGGUAUGAAUGAUUCUCUUUUUGUUUUCAUCUCUUUGUUGAAAUUAAUUGCUUGUGGAUUCGUUAUUAGUUUUGAUUGAAUUGGUGAUAUAUAUAUAUAUAUAACAUGGCAGGAAGCGCAUAAGGUUACAUUGAAUGUCUAUGACCUAAGCAGAGGCUUGGCUCGCCAGCUCUCUGCUUCAUUUUUGGGAAAGGUUAUCGAAGGUGUCUGGUGAGUUAUCUCUCUGUCUUAAUCCUUUAAGCUCCAUAGUGUUUGCCUUUAACUUGGGGUUAAGGUCUACACUUACUUGAUAGUCAGUUGCAGAACAGGAUAUGAGUUAAUUCAUGUUAGAUAUUGGCAUGUUUGUUUGUAUGCGUCACGAUUAAUGAACAGUUGAUUGCGUUAACGCUUUUGCUUGAGCUGGUAUAGUAACAUUUGAGUUAUGUGUCCCUUUCGCAGGCAUACGGGAAUAGUUGUGUAUGGGAAUGAAUACUUUUUCGGAGGAGGAAUCCAGCAUUUACCAGCUGGAACCACCCCAUAUGGAGCACCGCUGCGAACCGUAGAGCUGGGUGAAACACACGUUCCUAAAGACGUGUUCGAGAUGUACUUGGAGGAGAUAAGUCCACGUUACACUGCUGAAUCCUACAAUCUGCUUGCUCACAACUGCAACAACUUCAGCAACGAGGUAGCUCAGUUUCUGGUUGGUAAAGGGAUUCCAAACUACAUUCUUGAGCUUCCCAAUGAGGUCAUGAACAGCCCCAUAGGUGGUCUUAUAAGUAAGUUGCAAUCCUUCCCUGCACCAAAUAAUAAAUUAUCGAAAGUUAAAAAUGUAUGUUGAUUGAUUAUAACGGUAAAACAAAGUUUGAACUAUACAUUAAUUUAACCAUAUUUUCUUAUAAAAACCUCAAGUAAAAGAUAAAAGACUAACAAAACUUUAAAUAAGAAUUAGUUGUUUACUUUUUUUUAUAAACUUGCUUACCAGUUUAUAUGUCUUUUUUAUUUUGAAAAUAAAAACUGUGAAUUUUAAUAAUUUCUAAUUUGUAGUCACCAAAAACAACACAAAAGUACAAUAAUAUCUAAUAAUUUAUAUAGCAUUAUCAGUCUUAAGUAUCAAAUAUAUAAACUCAAAUAUAAAUUUUAAACUAACCUAAAUUUCAUUAAAAUAUAUAGGGAAAAACCCGGGCAUAGCCCGGGGUAAUCUCUAGUAUAUAAGAAAACAUAAAAACCCUAACACAUAAAGAUAAUUAUCCUAAUAAUAAAUAAAACUUUAAAUAAUUAAAAUAUUAGAAUAUUCUUAAAUAUUUUCUCUGCAUCAUAGUUGCACACAUUCACUUAAAUAUAUCUAAACUAUACUAAAAGGAGGAUAUAAGCUCCUCUUAGAGUGUCCACGUAGGCACAAAAAAUCGUCCAAUCAGAGAAUCUGAAUUUGUCACAUCAUCUCAUUUAUUUUUUCGUAAGAAAUAAAAAAAACAAUGCAAAGGAAAUGAUCGAACCCGGGUUAGUAUGACAUAAAUAUAGGGCAUAUACCACUAAGCCAUUGAAACUUUCUUGGACACAUAUACAAGAAUCACUAAAUAUCUAAUCACAAACUCUUAUGUACAUUUACAAUAAUAUGGAUUCAACUUUCAAGACUCUGAUACUUUGUUUUGUAAAAAAAAAAAACUAAGUGACUAAGCUAAUAUAUUCUUUGAAAGUGUGAGAACAUUGACAAAUAUGAAAAAUCAUAGAUUUUUGUUUUCGUGACAAAGUUAAGAAUUUUGUAAAAGUAAAUUUACAAUAUAAAUUUUCGUGACAAAUAUGAAAAAACAUAGAUUUUUGUACAAUUUUGACAAAACAACUCAAAAUAUAGUUCUCUAAUGUCUUAAUAAAAACAAUCAAACAACAUAAUGAUUUCCACAAAGAAAAUUUAAAAAAUAUAUUUAUGUUAUGUAGUCUUAUUUUAUAUUCUUUAAAUAAUGUAAUACAAUAUUAUACAUUAUUUUUUUAGAAUUGAGAAAUACAUAUAUAUCAGUUAGACAAAUUAAGCAAUAAUUAGACAAUUUUGACUCUUUUUUUGCCAGCCAAAAGUUUAUUAUUAAUUAGCAUCAGUUAUUUCAAGAUGUUUAAGAAAAUAUGGACAAAAAAUAGGAUGGACAUAAAUGAUAUAUGAAUUAUGAAUAGUACUUUGUAAAACUGACUUAGAUAACACAUAUGCACAUCCAUUUUCAGUCAUUUUUGAUGCCUAAAUUCAAUUUCUUCAGAGCAGUUAUUCCACAAAAAGAUCGUAUGAGAUAUUGUUUUGAUAUUCAGAUUUGUUUCUUGAAUGUUAAGAAGAUUGAUAACUGUAAAAAUGUCUCCUUCGAAUAUUAUAUGUCUAUAACCGAAUCUCCAACAUGAGACAACUUUGUUUAAAAAGUAAAUAAUUUCAUUUUUCUUAUAUUAUAUAAUAAAUAUAUAUUAUUUACUGAUAAUAAAAAUAUAUUUAUUCAUCUAUCACAAACAUCUACGCAAAUACGUGCAUCAAGUACAACAAUCAAACAACAUAAUGAUUUCUACAAAGAAAAUUUAAAAAUUAUAUUUGUGUUAGGUAGUCUUAUUUUAUAUUCUUUAAAUAAUGUAUUACAAUAUUAUACAUUAUUUUUUUAGAAUUGAAAAAUAUAUAUAAUAUCUAAACCGCGCGUAGCGCGGUUAAAAAAUCUAGUAACAAUAAAUACCGAAGAGGAGGACUACAAGCCUUACUUAACAUGAGAGAGAGCAAGGCGAGGCUUCCUCCGCAAGAAAUAUGUUACCGAUUAUAAAAACUUUUAUUCAUGCCUUUAACUUUGGAGGCUUUUAAGCUCUACUUCUUAAUAUUUUAUCAAAUACAUAUGUGGAAUCGCCUGAAAGCUCCAAACGCUCCCCCUUCAACGAAAUUUUACUUAGUCGUCCUCUUCCAUAGUCUGCAUCUUUAAGGAUAUUUUGCGAAAGUAGUCCACCUGAAACUCGAAACAAACCAUGCUCAAUCAAGAAAUUUUCACAGCACCGUCAUCCCCACUGUUUCACUAAUGUUAGCUAAAAAUAGAAUGAAGAAGAGGGAAGUGAGUAAGACCUGGUUUAAAGCAGUGUUGAAUAUUAACUCCUCGAAGCUGAUAGCAAUUCUCCUGAGCUCCUCAAUUCCUUCCUGCCCUGAAUACGGAACAUGUUUCUUCAGAGUUUCCAAACUGCGCCAAAUGACCAAAAAAAAAAAGAAGAUAUUAUUCAUAGGUCAAGGCACUACUAUGUUUAUAACAAAAACAAAAAUAAAAUGCAACGAACUUACAGCUUGUCGAUAUUCUUCUGGCGUGAAUCAGGUGGCAGUUGAAUUCUCCAGUCACCUGAGUUUAUGGCAGGUUCCACGUUCAGGAGAGAAGGCUCUGCAUUGUCCUUGAUCAAAUGAUUCACUGUGGAGUAUUCACAAAGCAUCAAGGGUUAAAGACCAUAUAAGCUCCACAACCAGCUUCUGCCAAGUACACGAAGAACGUUGCUUACUAAUGUCAUCCAAGGUUAGGUUGUUACUAUCAGCAAGGAUAGAAGAAUCGGAACCAGCUGCAUUUUGAGCUUUAGUCUCCAUAGUCAGGAUCUUCAUCGAUAUUUUCCGGAGGUAAUCAGUCUGAAAAUUCAAAAAUAAUAAAAAAGAAAAUCAGGAUCGUAGCUUUCAUACACCAACCGUAUAAUGGGGGGGCUGUAGAUGAUGUAUAUAUGGAAAGGAUAGAUUAGUCAAACUCAUAUACCUAAUCACCUCUUGUAACAGUAUAUAUAUUGUAAUCUCAUUCUAUAAUAAAGUUGAUAUUUUUAUAAUUGCAUAAAAUGUAAAUAUUGUUAAUUUAUUAUUUAACCGCUGCUGCAUUUGGUAGUUAACCAGUCAUAAGUAUCCCGCAAACGCACCAAUUUCUAGCCGCAGAACCAGUCGUACAAAUCUCUUAAAACCGCUAGAAACCGCAACCACCCGCAGCCGCAAACUCCCGCAACCGCAACCACAACCGCUGCGGUUGAACCAGUAAGACCCUUAAGCUUCCAUCUCUAUAUGGUAUCAGAGCCUUACGGUUCUAAGACCUAAAAUUUAGCCGCCUCCCUCAAGCUAUCUUCUUCUUCCCUCACGCUAUCUUCUUCUUCACCUUUAUCUUGCAACAAUGGCUUCACCUGCACUCUCUGAGACUAUUACCAUCGACUCAGUCAAUCUCAUCAACGUCAACAUGUCCAAUGUGACAAAACUCACUGGCGCUAACUUCCUGAUGUGGAGCCGCCAGAUUCAUGCCUUGCUCAACGGCUACGGUCUUGCAAGUCAUAUCAUGGAACGAUCGAAGUUCCUCCUCCGACAAUCACCACUGAUGGUGUCGUCGCUAUCAAUCCUGCGUUCACUGCUUAUCAACGACAGGAUCAACUCAUUUAUAGCUCUCUCCUCGGUGCUAUCACUGUCUCUGUUCAGCCGAUUCUUGCUACAACCUCCACAGCGGCUCAGAUCUGGGAGAAACUCUCAGCCACAUAUGCGAAACCAAGCAGGGGUCAUAUCCAGCAACUCCGCCAGCAGAUCAAACAAUGGAAAAAGGGUACAAAGUCAAUUGAUGAGUACCUGCAAGGCUUUACGACGAGAUUUGAUCAACUGGCGCUCUCGGCAAAGCGAUCGACCUAGAAGAUCAGAUUGAGUAUAUCAUUGACGGUUUAUCUGAUGACUACAAACUAGUUGCUGAUCACAUUCAGAGUCGCGACGUGCCUCCCUCUCUCACUGAGACACAUGAGAAGCUACUCAACCAUGAAAUCCGACUGCAGUCCAUGACGCCUACGUUAUCUCCUCUGCCCGUCUCUGCGAAUGCUGCGAGCUUCCGUCCCUCCAACAGCAACAACAGAAACAACAACUACUCCUCCAACAAUCGCGGACAGACUCGGAACAACCAAAACAAUCGCAACUCUCAGCCUUGGCAACAGCAACAACACUUUCAACCACGUCAAGAUCAGGGUUCCCGUGGGUAUCAAGGAAAGUGUCAGAUAUGUGGGGUCUUUGGUCACAGUGCAAGGCGUUGCCCUCAGUUCCAGACAUCGAGCAAUGCUUCCAGUCAGUUUUCAUCGUCGCCAGCACCAUGGCAACAACCUCGGGCUAACAUGGCAGCAAUGUCAUACAAUCCGAACAACUGGAUAUUGGAUAGUGGAGCCACUCAUCACCUGACUACUGAUCUCAACAAUCUGUCUCUUCACCAGCCCUACAAUGGUGGAGAAGAAGUUGUCAUUGCUGAUGGUUCGGGUCUUCCUAUUUCUCACACUGGUUCAUCAUCUCUCACUACUCCAUCUCGCUCCCUUGCUUUAAAUAAUAUACUUUUUGUCCCUAACCUUCACAAAAACCUAAUCACCUCUUGUAACAGUAUAUAUAUUGUAAUCUCAUUCUAUAAUAAAGUUAAGCUUCCAUCUCUAUAGGGGCUACAAAAGAUCAUAUCUUAUUUUCCCAUGUCCAUUGGUUUUUGCAAAUCUCUAAUAUAAAACCACACUAACGAAACAAAAUUAAUAUAAAGGAGGACAAGAGGUGUGUGUUACCUGGUUAACAGCACUGCUGAAAAUUUUCUCCUCGAACCUGGCAGCAAUUCUCUUGAGCUCGUUAAUCCCUUCUGGUCCACAAUACGGAAAGUGCUUCUUUAGUGUAUCCAUUCUGCGCAAGUAAAUCAUGUAAGAACAAUUACCAAAAAAAUUAACUUAUAUAUAUGUAAUAGCAGCAUAGAAACCUUCUAGUUAUAGAAAAUAUAUAUAUACAAAACAGGAGAUGUGAUGAUGAAGUUACAUCUUGUUGACGAUGUUCUGUCGUGAACCCGGUGGCAGUUGAGUUCUCCAGUCACCUGAGUUUAUGGCAGGUUCUUCGUUCAGGAGAAAAGGCUCUACAUUGCCAUUAUUGAUCAUGAGAUUGUCUGUGGAAUAUUCACAAAAGCAUCAAAGGGUAGAUCUUAUAAGAAAACAAAACACAUAACAAACCAAAUGGAAUCUAUUUCAAAUGAAGGCACGGAGGACAAAGAUGGAUAACAAUUAACCGCUGAAAACUUCAUAUUAGGUGCCUAUUGUGGCAUUUAGAUUAGCUCACACACAUGGAGAAUAAUGGAUUAUCCAAAACCAGCUUCUGCUAAGUAGAUGAAGGACGCGUUGCUUACUAAGUUCAUCGAAGGCUAGGUUGCUACUAUCAGCAGGGAUAGAAGAAGCGGAACCGGCUACAUUUUGCGAUUUAGUCUCCAUAGUCAACAUCUUCAUAGAUAUUUUCCGAAGGUAAUCAUUCUGAAAGUAACAAAAUAAAAGAAAAUCAGGACCGGUAGGUAUACAUGGCCAGCAUACACCACCGUAUAAUUGGGCUACAAAAGAUCAUAUGCUUAUUUUCCAUGUCCAUUGCUUUAGCAAAUCUCUAUAUAAAACCAUAUACUAACGAAACAAAUACAGAGGACGUGUGUAUUAUUUAUUACCUGGUGAACAGAACUGCUGAAAACUUUCUCCUCGAACCUAACAGCUAUUCUCUUGAGCUCGUUGAUUCCUUCUGGUCCAGAAUAUGGAAGGUGCUUCAUUAGUGUAGCCAUUCUGCGCAAGUUGCAAGUCAAUCAUGUAAGAAUAAUUUACCAGAAACAAAAAAAGCUUAUUGAAACCUUCUAGUUCUAGAGGAUAUAUGUAGAGAGAGAGAGAGAGAGAGAGAGAGAGAGAGAGAGAGAGAGAGAGAGAGAGAGAGAGAGAGAGAGAGAGAGAGAGAGAGAGAGAGAGAGAGAGAGAGAGAGAGAGAGAGAGAGAGAGAGAGAGAGAGAGAGAGAGAGAGAGAGAGAGAGAGAGAGAGAGAAAAGGAGAUAUGAUGAUGAAGUUACAUCUUGUUGACGAUCUUCUGUCGUGAAUCAAAUGGCAAAUGAGUUCUCCAGUCAUUUGCGUCCAUGGCAGGUUCUCCGUUAUUAACAGAAGGCGCCAUCAAGAUCAAGACUUUUAUAACUUCAAUUAGAACAAAAAGAAAAAACAGAUUAAAGUGUGAUUAGCUCCAAAUGUCUUGUAGUUAUGGAGACUUAGAGCACAAGAAAACAAACUAUUGAGCCAAACCUCUCUGAUCAAGUACCAACUUCUUUCACUGAUUGGUCGACAUAAUAAAAUUAAAUUUAUUAUCAUCCUACUUGUAAACGUGAAAUAAACAAGCCACGAUACUUUUCUCGUAUCCGGACCAGAAGAAGAAACACAAAAUUCAAGAAAACAAAAUCACCUUAGAUUUGCUGCAAGGGCUUUCGGGGAUCGAGAGUUGCGACGAGCAGAGAACAAGACCAAGACCAAGAACUUGCUUGAACAUAAAUGUAAAUAGAAAAAUGAAAAGAGGUGACAUGGCCUUAUUAUAUGAACCCAAAUAUGUAAUGAAUUUUUCAGAGAAAAAAAUGUUACAAGGGGCCCACUGAAAUUUGAUUAGUCAGAACUAAAAAAAACUAUUUUAUUUUAUUGCCCACAUUUUUUAAAGAAAAAAAUCUGCCCGAUUGCCUUCUUAGCAUUUUGAUUAGAUUGUGUAGUAGUAUUUUGUUUAACAGAUUAUCAAUCAACUUUUUUACCUCCAUUAAAAUUUACUUCUGGAUCCACGUCUAAUUAAAUUUAGUUACUGGAUCUAGUAUCAAACAUUAUGCAGUGCCUAUACAGUCUAACCCUUAACUCAACUGCUCCAAAAAGGAAAACAGUUUUGAUUCUACACCAGUUAAAUGAAGGAAACGUUGUUUUUCCUUGUUGAGGAUUUCGGAUGCGUUAGAAAAAUCCCUCCAUGUUUAUUCAUUCCUAAUGCCUUGAACUUUGGAGGUUUCAAGGUGUGAUCUUGAAGGAUGUUUUGUGAAGAUAAUCCACCUGAAACUCGAGAUAAACAGAAUAUCAAACCAAAAGAAGUUUUGAUAUCAAGGUUCACUGUCACUGGAGAUCAUACAAUAACAAGGUUCAUUGGUUUGCAAUCCAUAGCAUUUAGAUUAAGAGAAUAAUAAUAACUAAUCGUCUUGACUUGGACCACUAUAAACAAGAGUUUUGCUGCAUGAAUUUCAUUCCACCGUUCUACCAAUAUUCCAAGAUAAAAAAAAAAAUGAUGAAACCUGAUCAAUAGCAGUGUUGAAAAUCAACUCCUCGAAGCUAGCAGCAAUUUUCUUGAGCUCUAUAUCUCCUUCUUUCCCACAGUUUGGAACAUGUUCCUUUAGUGUUCCCUUUCUGCUCAAAUGACAAAACAAACAGUUUAACUGUACAUCAUCAACAUAGGUCACACCUACGGCACUGUGUCAGAACGUUGUAACAUUGUUUUUCUACAGAGCUUUAGCACUAAGCUGGCUCUGAAGUGAGCAAAGAUGACAAUUUCGAAUAGACAACUAAUACGCAGUGUGUAUAAUGAACUUACAUUUUGUUGGCAUUCUUCUUGCGUGAAUCCGGUGGCAGACAAGUUCUCCAGUCACCUGUGUUCACAACAGGCUCUGCUUCGACGGGUCCUUCGACUGUCAUCUGAUGACAACCUGUAUAUGUUCACAAGACGACUUAACAAAUGAAUUGUGAUGAUAUUUCAAACACACCCAAAAAUUUCAUGUUAUUAUUAUGUGUUCUAGUUUAUAUCAUAUACAUACAUCUAAGCUUACAUGAAGAGAUCAAUGCGUUAACUUUACACACCAACAAAAGCUAAUGCUACUACAUGCAUGAAGGGCUUUAUACCCGGAUUCAAGGGCAGACGGUUAUAACCACCAGGGAUCGGUAAAGAAGAACCAGCUGCAUUUGGUGCUUUAGUAUCCAAAGGCAGCAUCUUGAUGGAUAUUUUCCGAAGGUAAUCAGUCUGAAAUUUCGAAAAGAAAACAAGGAUCAGUUAUAUAUAGAUAGCUACCAUAUAAUGGGGGCCUUAAAGAUCAUAUCUUCUUGAUCCAUGUCCAUUGCCACUCGCAAAUCUCCAUAGAAAACCACACAGAGGGAACAAAAUGUACAUAGGAGGAAGUGUUACCAGGUUAACAGCAUCGCUGAAAAUUUUCUCCUCGAAUCUGGAAGCAAUCUUCCUGAGCUCGUUCAUUUCCUCUGGUCCAGAAACUCGAAGGUACUUAUGCAGUGCUUCCAUUCUGCAUGCAAGUAAAAUCAAGUAAGAAGAAACAAAAGAGAACUUAUUGAUCUAUACAACAAGAGAUAUUAUGAUGAUGAAGAAGAAGUUAAGUUACAUCUUGUUGACGACCUUCUGGCGUCCACCAGAUGGCAAUUGAGCUCUCCAGUCAUGUGUGUCCAUGGCAGUUUCUCCUUUAUCAACACAAGUCCCCAUCUAAGUACUUCUAUUAUAUAACUCAAUUAGAAAACAAGUUAAAAAGUGUGAUUAACCCUCACAUGUCUUGUAAUAUUUUCUAGGGCACGAUACACUGAAAAAACGCACUGUACCAGCGUAUGGCACAAGAAACAAACUAUUGAGUUGAACCUCUCAACACUAGUUCAGUACCAACUUCGUUCAGUGAUUGGUUGAAAUUUUUAAAAAAAAUCAUAUAAUCUCCUCCUCCUAAAAUGGAAGGAAAAAGAAAACGAGCCACAAUGCUUUUCUCGCAGCCCAGCCACAAGAAGAUAACGAAACCCUAAAAUCAAAGACGAAAAAUAACGAAAUUCGAAAAGCAAAUCACCUCAGGUUGCGGGGAGGACGACGAGCAGGGGACCACCAAUACUUUGCUUUGCAUCUAAAUUUGUAAACAGAUCAAAUGAAAUCGAAACUAGUAUGUGUAAACCGGCCCAAGUAAGCAAUAAAGAGGAGACACGGUCUAGUGAGCCCAGAUAUAUAGGCCCAAUAUAGUGUUACAAGGAGGACUCACUGAAAUUUUAUUAGUCAGUACAAUUAUCUAAACUUUAUUUUAUAGCAUUUUGAUUAUAUUUUUAACUAAGUUUUACUAAUAGUGAGACUUAUUUAUCUUUAUCGGUCUAUUUAUAUUUUUUUCUGCCAUCAUCAAUCCAUUUAUAUUUUAAAACUGGGUGUUUUUUUAGAUAAUUUAAAGGGAAAUUUUGGAUAAAUGCACUUCAAUAUAUUAAAAAUAUAUAUUAAAAGAAAAAUAUAUUUAUGAUUUUUUUCUAAAUAAAUCAAUUAAAAUUUAUAAAAUGAUUUAAAAGAUAAAUAUAUUUAUAGUUUUUAGUAUAAAGCCAAAUAAACAAAAAACUGACGGUAUCUAAACCAAACCAAAUCAAAAUAAAUAUGAUUUUUUAAAAUUUAAUUUAUAUAAUUUAAAUCGGUUAAGCUAUUUUAAAUCAGUUAAUAUAUCUUUAAAUAAAUUUAAAUUUAUUAGACUAAACAAUAAAAUUAGUAAAAAUCUACAAAUUAUCUCUUUUUGUUCUGUAUAUUUAAUUUUAAUAAUUCAUCAAAAUAAUAUUUUAAAAUAUCUUAUAUAACUACAAAUUAUAUAUAAAAUUAAUAUAUAAUUCAUUAACUCUUAAGUCUCUAAUUUCUGUCUGGCUAUUUAUUCAACAUUGAUAAAUCAAAGUAAGGCAAUGCCUUCGAAUCUUCUUCUCAUUACUUGGGAACAACAUCAUUAUAUAUUCUCUCAGUUUCAUAAUAACUGUCAUUUAAAGUUUUUGCAUACAAAUUAAAAAAAAUUUAUUAAAUUUGAUAUUUUGCUUCUAUUUAAUACAUUAUUUUGUUAAUUAGUAAGAUAAAAAUAAUGGUAAAAAAUAGAAAAAUUAUUUCAUUUAUGCAUUAAAAAUAUAAACGACAUUUAUAAUGAAAGAAAAAUUAAAAGGCUAGAAUAACGCUUAAUAGAGCAUUUAACAAAAUAUUGUAUGUGAACACUGGACAGGUAAUUAAAUGCUUUUGCAUAAGCAAAUAGCAUACAUACAUACAAACCCGAAGAGGACUACAAGCCUUACUUAACAUGAGUGAGAGCAUGGCGAGGCUUCUUCCGCAAGAAAUUUUUCAUCGGCGAUUAUACAAACGGAAUUAACAUUCUUUUAUUCAUGUCUUUUAACUUUGGAGGCUUUCAAGCUCCGUUCUUAAUAUUAUCAAUACAUAUUAUAUGGAAUCGCCUGAAAGUUCCAAAUGCUCCCCUUCAACGCAAUUUUACUUAGUUGUCCUCUUCCAUAGUCUGCAUCUUUAAGGAUAUUUUGCGAAAGUAAUCCACCUGAAACUCGAAACAAACCAUUCUUAAUCAAGAUGGUGUCAAGAAAGCACACAUGAAGUUUAAUAAAUUUUCACAACACCGUUCUCUACCAUCCCACUCCUUUCAACAGUGUUGGCAAAAAUAGAAUGAAGAAGAGGAAAGUGAAACCUGGUUUAAAGCAGUGUUGAAAAUUAACUCCUCGAAGCUGAUAGCAAUUCUCCUGACCUCCUCAAUUCCUUCUUGCUCUAAAUACGGAACAUGUUUCUCCAGAGUUUCCAUUCUGCUCAAAUGACAAAAGAGUAGUACUUAUAGGGCAACGCACUAUGACAAAAUGUUAUAACAUUAUGUUUCCUACAGAUAUAUAUUACUGAACUUACAACUUGUCAACAUUCUUCUGGCGUGAAUCCGGUGGCAGUUGAGCUCUCCAGUCACCUGAGCUCAUGGCAGGUUCUUCGUUCAGGAGAAAACGCUCUACAUUGAUCAUGAGACUGUCUGUGGAGUAUUCAUAAAGCAUCAAAGGGUAGAUCUCCAUAAGAAAAAAAACACAUAACAAACCAAAUGGAAUAUUUUCAAAUGAAGGCACGGAGAACAACGAGACCACAAAGAUGGAUAAACUAUUAACCGCUGAAACUUCAUAUUUAGGUGCCUAUUGGCAUAUAACUCACACACAAAGGAGAAUGCAUUUUCAAAACCAGCUUCUGCUAAGUACAUGAAGGACGUUGCUUACCGAGUUCAUCCAAGGCUGGGUUGUUACUAUCAGCAGGGAUAGAAGAAGAGGAACCAGCUGUGUUCUGAUCUUUAGUCUCCAUAAUCAGCAUCUUCAAGGAUAUUUUCCUGAGGUAAUCAGUCUGAAAAUUCGAAAUAAUAAGAAAAAUCAGGUAUACAUGGCUUUCAAUACACCACCGUAUAAUGGGGCUACAAAAAGAUCGUAUCUUUUUUUUUCCAUGUGCAUUUCCCUCGUAAAUCUCUAAUAUAAAACAACACUAAAGAAACAAAUAUAGAGGAGGACGUGUGUAUUACCUGGUGAACAGCACUGCUGAAUACUUUCUCCUCGAACCUGGCAGCAAUUCUCUUGAGUUCGUUAAUUCCUUCUGGUUCAGAAAAUGGAAGGUGCUUUUUUAGUGUUUCCAGUCUGCGCAAGUGGCAAGAAAAUCAUGUAAGAACAAUAAAACAAAAAGAAACAGCUUAGAUACCUUCUCGUUCUAGAGGAUAUAUAUAAAUAGAAAAAUGGAGAUAUGAUGAUAUGAAGUUACAUCUUGUUGACGAUCUUCUGUCGUGAAUCAGAUGACAAUUGAGUUCCCCAGUCAUUUGUGUCCAUGACAGGUUCUCCGUUAUUAACAGAAGUCCCCAUCAAGAUCAAUACUUUUAUAACUUCAAUUAAAAAGGAAAAAAACAGAUUAAAGUGUGAUUAGCUCCAAAAUGUCUUGUAAUUAUGGAGACUUGGAGCACAAGAAAGCAUAAUGCUGAGUUAAACCUCUGAUCAGUACCAACUUCGUUCACUGAUCGGUUGAAAUAAUCAAAAUUCAUAUAUUCUCCUACUUGUACAAGGAAAAAAAAGCGAGCCACAAUACUUUUCUUGCUUCCUGACCACAAGAAGAAAAACAAAACCCUAAAAUCAAAGAUUUUUGAAAAAUCGAGAAAACAAAUCACCUCAGAUUUGCUGCAAGAGCUGUGUUGAGGGUUGCGACGAGCAGAGACCUAGACGAAGACCAAGACCAAGAGCUUGCUUUGAACAUAAGUGUAAAUAUGUAAUGAAUUUUUCUGAGAAAAAUGUUACAUGGGGACCCACUGAAAUUUGAUUAGUAAGAGUUAGGCCUGGACUUAUUAUCUGAGAUCCGGAUUAGUUCCAAAAUCCGCUCCGGAUCCGCUCUGAAAUAUGAUAUUUGGGAUAUCCGAAUCUGGAUAGUAAAAUCUCGGAUCCAUCAAAACCGAAUCAUGAUAUCUUGAUUUUUAGGUCCGGAUAUCCGAAUCCGUAUUUUUAAAAAAAAAAAAUUUAAAUUUUAUUGAUAAUUAUAUUGAUAUUUUAAUAUUUAUAGAUAAAAUUAGUUUUUCUAAUAUUAUAUUUUAAUUUUUAAUACUAUAUACAUAGAUAUAUAUAUAUAUAUUUAUAAAUCUUGUAUAAAUAUUUAAUUUAUGUAUUAUUUUUUAAAAUUCAAAUAUUUUAAAAAAUAUUUUUUAUUCCUUUAAAUAUUUUUACGAAUUCGGAUGCGGAUCCGGAUAUCCGCGGAUAAUAUGAUAUCUAGACGGAUAUUCAGAAUCCAGAUAUUCGGAAGCCACAAAUCUGGAUCUGAAAACUAAAUCCACGGAUCCAACGAAUCUUGAUCCGGAUACCUUAACUUUCCGAGAUAUCCCUCCUUUGUAUUUUGAUUAGAUUGUUUUAACUUUUAACGGAAUAUGGAAUUAUGUAUCUUGAUCAAUGGAUUUCUAUUGUAUUAUUAGAUGUUAUAGUAUUUAUUGUUGACAAAAAAAAGAUGUUAUAGUAUUUAUUAAAACCUAUUAAAAUUGUGCUUAAAAGACAUCGAACAAUAACAAAAUGUCACUUCACUUAGGUAAUGUUUUUUUUAUCUGGAAUAUCCGGCUAAAGCAGAUCCAAUUGCUUGCAAAAGAGAUUAGAUACCCCUUUUCACUUGGCCAAACGAACGAAUAGUCUAAGUGUGAGGUUUCGAACCCGGAUCCUUAGAAACUUUCCGAUCCGCCUUCGUCGCUCGACACUUGGUUCACUUAGCUAAUGUUUCAACGUAUGAACAACUUAUUAGUUUAUAAAAUAUCAAACCAGAAGGAGUUGAUAUCAAGGUUCACACAAACGAAUCAGAAGUUUUGGUUUGUAAUCCAUAGACAGUGGUGAAAUUGAAUACCUAGAACCAAUCGUUACGCAUGAAAUUCAUUCCACCGUUCUACCAAUAUUACAAGAUAAAAAAAAAAGAUGAAACCUGAUCAAUAGCAGUGUUGAAAAUCAACUCCUCAAAGCUGACAGCAAUCCUCUUGAGCUAUUUGUUUCCUUCUUUCUCACAGUUCGGAAAUGUUUCUGUAGUGUUCCCUUUCUGCUCAAAUGACAAACAGUUUAGCCGUACACAAACAUAUUUAGCAUUAAGCUAGCUCUGAAGUGAGCAAAGAUGACAAUUCUGGAGAGAAUGUAUAAUGAACUUACAUUUUGUUGGCAUUCUUCUUGCGUGAAUCCGGUGACAGACAAGUUCUCCAGUCACAUGUGUUCACAGCAGGCUCUGCUUUGACGGGGCCUUCCAUUGUCAUCUGAUGAGAACCUUUAUAUGUCCAACAAGACGACUAACAAAUGAAUCGUGAUAAUAUUUCAAACACACUCAAAAAAUUUCAUGUUAUUAUUAUUAUUAUUAUGUGUUUUAGUAUAUACUAGCAUAUAAAUCUAACUUAUAUGAAGAGAUUAAUACGUUAAAAAUCUACACACCAAUAAAAGCUUCUGCUACUACAUGCAUGAAGGGCUUAUACCUGGAUUCAGUGGCAGACUGUAAUAAACACCGGUGAUAGGUAAAGGAAGAGGUAAAGAAGAAGAAGAAGAAGAAGAACAAGCUGCACUUUGCAAUUUAGUAGUCUCCAUAGUCAGCAUCUUCAUGGAUAUUUUCCCAAGGUAAUCCAUCUGAAAGUAUCAAAAAUAAAAGAAGAUCAGGAAGGUUUCUAAGCUUUACAGGUACGCCACUGCCUCACAAAAAACUCUUUGUAUUACCUGGUUAGCAGCACAACCAAAAAUUCUCUCCUCGAAUCUGGAAGCAAUUCUCCUAAGCUCUUUAAUUUCUUCUGGUCCAGAGCACGGAAGCUGCUUCCUUGUGUUUCCAUUCUGCGCAACACACAAUGAUUGGUCAAUAAGAGUGAAAAGAAGAAAGAUACCACCAAAAAAAAAAAGAGAAAGAUAACACAAAGGUAUAUCAACCAAAGUUAUAUCUUGCCGAUUAUCUUCUCGCGUGAAUCAGAUGGCAAUUGAGCUCUCCAGUCACAUGUGUCCAUGACAGGCUCGCCUUUUGAAAGAGAAGGUGUCAAAUUGUUAUUAUCCAUCAAGUAACCUACGGUUUACAAGCAAUGAAAAGCAGAGUUUAUAGAGUAAGUAAACUCAUCAUAAGUUCAUAACUACAUGAAAACAGAGAAGAAACACAAACAUUGACCAAGAAUUUUACAGGAAACAAACUACCACACAGCAUAUGGAUUAUCUUUACACUCAGAACUUCUCAACAGAUUUAUAUGAAUUGAGCUUUUAUACAGGAUAUGGAUGAUGAGUAUGAAAAAACUCAUUAGAAGAAUGAAUCCACCGAGGUAUUACAACUUGUUAAUAAUAAAUAUCUCAUAUGAUCAGCACCAGUUUUAAUGAUCUAUUCUCGUAGAACACUUCCACACAUUUCAUAAUUGUUAUUAAAAAAGUAGAUCAUCCAUCGACAGAAACUUCAAUAGAGAGAAUACUUCUCUCGCAUCCAAUAUCUCAUAUGAUCAGCACCAGUUUUAAAGAUCUAUUCUCGUAGAACACUUCCACACAUUUCAUAAUUGUUAUUAAAAAAGUAGAUCAUCCAUCGACAGAAACUUCAAUGGAGAGAAUACUUCUCUCGCAUCCAAUACCACAUAGCAGAAGAUGGAAAGUCGAAUUGUAAAUUUAUAACAAACAAUAAAAGAAGAAACGUACCUAUAUCCCUUAUAUAUUAAUUGAGAAACAUUUGAAAAGAUGUAACCUCAAUUUUGUAUUAAUUAAAAGAGGUCCCAAUGCAUAGGUGGCACUCAAUUAGGUAGUCAAUUACAUUCAAUUGAAAAAUAAGUAGGUCCACAUUCGAUUUUUAUAUGUUGUUAGAUACAUAAAUUGGUCAAAUUAUAUGAUAUAAUGAUAUGAUAUGAUAUUUUCUUUCCUUAAAUAAAAUCUACGGAAUUACCAUAAAUGACUAAUAUAUAUAUGACAAUUAAUGAGUUUAAUAAUAAAGAUUUGAUAACAAUGUAUAUCUCCUCCAUCAUUUUUUGUUUAAUUUUAUAUUAUUAAAAUAAAUUAAACAAUCAAAUUAGCUAUAAAAAUAAAAUUUAGAUUUUUUCGUAUAUGUUAUAUUUUGAAUUUUUAAAAACGACAAUAAAUGACUAAAACUAUUAAAAUUAUUAUGUUAAAAAUUAAUGAUCAAUGGUUUAACAUUUUUAUUAUAAGAAGAUACACAUGAUUUUAAAACNNNNNNNNNNNNNNNNNNNNNNNNNNNNNNNNNNNNNNNNNNNNNNNNNNNNNNNNNNNNNNNNNNNNNNNNNNNNNNNNNNNNNNNNNNNNNNNNNNNNNNNNNNNNNNNNNNNNNNNNNNNNNNNNNNNNNNNNNNNNNNNNNNNNNNNNNNNNNNNNNNNNNNNNNNNNNNNNNNNNNNNNNNNNNNNNNNNNNNNNNNNNNNNNNNNNNNNNNNNNNNNNNNNNNNNNNNNNNNNNNNNNNNNNNNNNNNNNNNNNNNNNNNNNNNNNNNNNNNNNNNNNNNNNNNNNNNNNNNNNNNNNNNNNNNNNNNNNNNNNNNNNNNNNNNNNNNNNNNNNNNNNNNNNNNNNNNNNNNNNNNNNNNNNNNNNNNNNNNNNNNNNNNNNNNNNNNNNNNNNNNNNNNNNNNNNNNNNNNNNNNNNNNNNNNNNNNNNNNNNNNNNNNNNNNNNNNNUUAGAAAUUUGAAUAUUCCCACUCUGAAAAUUUUGUGAUCAAUAGAUUAUUUUUUUGUUAUAAUAAGUUACAAAUGAUCAUAAAAUAUAACGCAUAUGAAUUUUUAUUUAAUAAAUAUUCAAACUAAAUAAUAUAUAUAUAUAUAUAAACACUAAUGAUUUAAAGCAACAAGAUUGGCUGAUCAAUUUAGUCGUCCAGUUGAAAUCUUUCAAAAGUAUGUGAAAGACUAAAGUCAAAGUAAAUAUGGAUUUAGAAUAGUAGUUAUAUUUUACUAACCAAAUACCGAAAAAAACCGAACCGAACCAAAACCAACCCGAUAUCCGGAUUGAACACCCGUAAUCUAAAUGAAGCCAAACUAUUGUUUCAUUCUCCAAAAUAUAAUAAAAAUAAUAACUUAAUCCCGCGCAAGGCGCGGGUCUUAUCCUAGUAAUAGAUUAAUUAUCAAAUUACAUCUCAUCUUUUGAUAGCACAAGAGAGAGAUCAAAAACUUGCUACGACGUAAGAAUUAAUAUCUAUGAAAGAAAAGAAAAAGACUCAAAAACAUUUAACUCGUCUCCACUGCCAUUAGAAUCCUUUUCCCCUUCCGCAAAGAAGACAAUGACAGGGGAGAACGAUUAUCUAUUUAUAGACUUAUCCAUAUCAUAAAUAUAGUUACAGUUAUAGCGUAGUCUUGAACGUGUGUGGCUGACAAAAGAAUAUCCAUGUUUGAUGGCUGUGGUGGCUGGUUAUAUAUUAGCUGGUUCCACAGGGCUGUUAUCAAGGGGUAUGUUAAGGUCAGGCAGCAAAAACGAGGAGGAAUCAUCAUUCUUUUGUGACUCAGCAGCCUGCACAUGCAUAGAUUAUAGAUACCAUCUGUUAAAGAUAUGUGUUACAUAUUUACUCAAAUAUGUGAUCAUGUUUACUAGGUUUUGUUUUAACCUGCUGGAUUUUCUUUAACGACUCGUUUCUUGCUCUUUGUUGCUUCAGCAUAUCGCGCAUACUUGCGAGUUCCUGAUUCACGCAACAAGUAAAAAAUGUUAAAGAGGUUUUGGACUAUGCACUUGACGUUCAAAGAAGAUGGGAAAAGAGUUUUUUUACAUUUUUGAGGCUUUUCUUUUCCUUUAAGAGCAAGCUCUCUUCCUCUUUAAGUUCAGCAAGCGUCUGUGGAGAGCCACAUACAAUGAUUAAACAUAAGACAUAAUAGUACAUAACUAUGUGAUUCUACCAGAAUAGGAAAAUACUUAUUUUUUGGUUUGCUUACCUUUUUCUUUCUUGAUCUCUUGAAAGGGGUUGUUGUUGUUACACUCGUUUGAGAUAUCUGCAUGAAAACCCACCAAGAAGAUCAGAUAGUGGCUUCUCACAACAUAUUAAGUCCAAGCCACAUUUUAAACUAGUUCGCAAUGACUUCGGAAAAUAAAGAGAUAAGUUAUUCACAAGCCCAUAAUCAGCAUAUACCAAUUUUGGUAUCCAUCAUUUCAAGUUAUCAACUAGAGUGGAAGUGUAGUAGAUACACAAAUGAUACGAUUAAAGAAGAAUCUCUGCUACAUAUAAAGGAUGAUCAUAAAAAUAAAGUGGUCGAUCAGUAACAAAGAUAUCACUACUUAAAGGUCUAAACCAAAUCACUAAAUCUUAGACAUAUUAAAAAAAAAACAUUAAACGAAAGGAAUCUUCUUUCUUGGUCAACUUCUUACACCAAGAAAAAAAGGCAAAUAUGAACAGAGGUGCCUCUUUUUCUCCUUACAUCGAGACACACCCAAUUCCAAAGGAAGAAUAGAAUCACGUGACUGGAGCGUGACUUUACGCGUGUCUUCCCUUGGCCACAAACCCCACACCUCUCCCUUGCUUCCCAUUGUCACGAAUUAUCCACAUAACCACAUGUCACUAUCACAUUCCUUUUCUUUCUUUUUAAUUACUUCUAACCCAAACACUGGUGACUUUAUGGCUUCUUCUACUUUUUAAAGUUGAUUCCAGCUUAAACCAUAUAGAAAAAACUGCUAAAAUUUUUCAUUCAGAAAAAAGGAAACUGCUAAAUAGACGAGGCUGUCAAUAAUAAUAAUAUAAUCUCACAAUGGGAGGAACAGGAACAGGGGUAAGUGAUUUUGACCAGACCAAAGGUGUUUUGGUUUGCAGUCAAAGUGUCGUGAGGGAAGUUUUUGACUUUUUAUUCCACGUCAGCAUUAACCUAUGGGAGUUGCUAUGCGCUACGCUGCAUCUGAUUACACCACACACGCACCAAACCCAUAGCCCAGACCUAAUUCGCCACGAAAACGCCUCUCGACCCAUAAAAGAGGCAACCCCUCAUUAUAAGCAAUUUUAAAUAACGCCAGCGAUAACUACUCUAGUUGACCGAAUUAUCCCUGAGCAGGCUCUAUGACAAAGGGUAAUCUCGUCAAUCCCGACCAGCUUCAGGAACCAAGAACAAGAAGCAUCGUGACGUGAACUUGAUAACCAAAGAGGCAACUUCUAGAUGCGAUGAUCUUAUUGAAACUGACACUGGAAACGCAGAAAGCUAAAAAAAAAAAACAGAGAAUAUAUACUUCGAGUUUAGAAGAACGUGCCGCUUAGUACGGUAACUGAAGAAUAUAACGGUCAACGUAUAGUCGGAGUAUUGAAUCGAAGAGGGCCUAAGGUUGCGUGACCGGCAAAGAGACCGAUCCCGUACGGAAAUGACGAAAAUGACCUUAAGAGAAACAUAGAAAAAUGGAAGUAGUUGCGAUAAAAAAGGAAGACCGAGAUAACGUGAAGUCGGAUAUCGCCAAAAAAAGAUAUGACUAGGCUUUAGGGUAUCAUACGGUAGCUAGUGUGGCUGUCCACCGGCGUUUGCCAGUCACGCAUCCCAAAUAGAGUAACGCAAGAGUUUCAAAAACUAGAGAGAAAAAUAACAAAGGGAUAUCGAAAUAUCCAAAACGAACCUUAGAUCUAACGGCCUCUGACAGUUUCACGCCGCCGCUUGACUCCUCAACUCCAUCAACAGCAGGAGCGCCGCUGCCUCCACCUCCACCACCGCUGAGAGAGGUGGCGCCGCUCCAGGAAAGAGGCGUAGUGGGACUGGAACGCGUGUGAUCUCCCUUCUUUGUUGAUGGUGUCGCCGCCUUGCUCCUCCGCUGGCGCACGUUCCAUUUCAGCUUGAGAUCGGACCCGCCGUUCUUCACAGGAGGAGGAGGCGGCUCAGCGUGGUGGAGGCAGAUCAGAGCCUCGGCCACCAAUGAAUCAUCGCUCAUAGCCUCCUGAGUCCAGUCUGCGCCGGUCAUAGCCUAGGUUUGGACCGUCCACCAAAUUAAGAGAGAGAAAUGAGAAAUGGUGGCGAAAAGUGGAGAAGAAGAAAAAUCUCCGUGGCACAUUAAAUGGGUGGAUUUUUAUAUAUAUGCAUUAGGAACGUUUUCACACAUACAGUUAGAUAGAUUGAAAUUAUUUCGUCUUUUUAUUUUCUUUCUUGGUGUAUGUGGGACCCACAGGAAUACUUAUGUGGCAUCAUGGAGUCUUUGUGCUUUGUCUCCAAGCGAAAGUAGCGUCUGAACUGUACGCGCGAGGAGCGAGAUUGUUUUUUUAUUCCUUGCUUGACGGUUCGGUUACAUCCACUGUAUAUGCAGUUUCGGGAUAAUUUUGUGGACGUGUGAGGUCUUUCUUAUUGUCAUCACUUUCACGCUUAAUAUGGAACUUCAUAGCGUUAUAAUGCCAUAUUGCCAUUGUAGUAUAAGGUAUACAUAGACAGAACAUUGUAAUCUGUACUUAUUUUCCCUUUUACAGAGAUGUUUUAAAGUUUAAAUUAUGUAUAUUGUAUACUGAUAUCUAUUCAUAUUUACUUUGUAUUUUUUUUUUUUUGCACAAAUCAAUGUUAAGAUUGACAAAAGUAUUUUUAAACAAACCAGUUCCCAUGAAAUGGUCGGUUAGUUAUAAAAUACUCCAUCGCCUAUUGGGCCUCAUGGGUUUAAAUAGAAAAGAGUAAAAAAUCAAUGGGCUUUUCUCACAUGUCCUUCAUCGGACACAUUCCGCAAAAGAUGAGUAGUUUCAUUUCAGAAUUAUAUCCGGUUUAUCAGACUUCGCCUGAACCGGGAAAAGUCUUAAACAUUUCAUUUCAACUAAACCGGAUUCACUGUAAAUCCAUAAUCGUCGUCGUCAUCAUCAUCCAAAGCCCUAAAUCCUUCGAAGCAGCCACAACCAUGGCGUCUCUUCUCGCCAGACGUCAACGAAGGCUCCAAUCAAACCCAUCUCUCUUUCGUUUCUUCUCCAACUCCUCAUCAGACCCACCUCCCCAAUCCGCUGAAAAGCCCUCCCAGCCACCACCGCCACCGUCGUACUCUUCUCCCUUCACCGACAUCAAGUCCACUCUGAAGCAAAAAAUACAGCAGGAGCAAGAGAGAAAGCCAUUCGCUGGAUCCUCCGACGCCCAAUCUCCGAAUCGCGGAUCGAGUAGUACAUUCUCCGAUCACAAGUCACGCGGGUCUCUACAGGAUCUGGGAAUCAACCUCGCCAAGUUCCAGCGCAGAUCCACCGCCGCCGCUCCACCUCCGAGGGAUUCGUCGCAGUCUCGGCCGCACAUUUCCUUCGAGGCGCUCUAUAAGCAGAACGUGGUAGCGGAUCCUCGGAAUCGCAAAGCGGAGGAGAUCGAUUCGAGUAACUUAUGGGAAAAUUUGAAGACUUUGAAGUCAAAGUCCAACGCUUUGAACAACGGGGAGAUGAAAGGAGUGUCCUUUCGAAGUUUCAAGAGCACUUUGAAGGGAAACGCUGGAAGAGGAGGAGAACCAUUGCCGGCGUCAGUCUUCGGGAAUGAAAGGGAAGGUGAAACAGAGGAGAUGACGACGGAGUUUCUGAAGAUUUAUAGGGAAGAUGAGUUGGGUGAGAAGCUAAGGAGGCUUAGGCCAGAGGGGAAGAAAGAAGAAGGGUGGUUCUCGUUGGAGGAGUUGAAUGAGAGGUUGGUUAAGCUAAGGCAAGUGGAGGAGAAAGAGGUUUAUAAUCAGCGUGGGAACGUGUCUGUAAUCAGAAAUGUUAUUGGAACGUUUCGGAAUGAGGCAGCCAUCAAUGAAGCUAUUUCCCGUACGUUCUAAGCCUCUGAUGACUCUCUGUGAGCUUCGUUAUUGGUUUUGAUUUUGUUGUCUGUAGCGAUGUAUUGCUGUUGAAAUGACAUUUUAUGUCGUCUGAGGACUAAGGAGGUUUAUGUGAUUGCAGAGCAGAAUCAGGACAUUAUGGGAUAUUUGGAUGGUACCCCUGAAUACAAGCUUUAUCCUCCAAAAGAUGAUCUUGUUGAUACUGUAAGUUUCUUUUGCUCUUGGACCUUGCAGCUAGUAGUGUGUCAAUCUAAUUAGUUGGAAACAAAAGACUUCUUUGGUCUAUGAUGGUUUUACACAAUGCUCUUGUUGAUCUGUUGUGACCAUUGAAUAAAAUGUGGGUAUAGAUGGUUUUAUACAAUGCUAUUGUUGAUCUGUUGUGACCAUUGAAUAAAAUGUGGGUAUUGAUCUGUUUUUAUGUGACUUCAUCAACGAAGUACUUCCACACAGAUAAUCUGUCAUCUGCGGAGAAGAUGAAAAUCGAGCUCACGAAAGUCAGGGAAGAUUUCAAGAUGUCGGAAUCUGAUUGUGGGUCUGCACGUGUGCAAGGUAAAUUCUAUGUAUAAGGCGAAUGGUUCUGAGACGGUUUUGGUUAGAUUGUCUUUUGAUGUAUCCGGUCUCUCCUUUGUAGUUGCGCAGCUCACUACUAAAAUCAAGCAUCUAUCCUCUGCUCUGCACAAGAAGGUAAAACUUCAAAGUUUAUAUCGAUAUUCUUUAUGUACCCCCUAAUGCCUUACCCUGUGGCUGUAUAACCGCAGGACAAGCACUCUCGGAAGGGACUUUUUGCUAUGGUGCAGAAACGGAAGAAGCUACUGAAAUAUCUAAGACGAACUGACUGGGAUUCUUAUUGCCUUGUCCUGUCAAAACUCAGCCUUCGUGACAACCCGGAUUACAAGUUCUAAGCUUUGUGCACUAAGAACCCCAUGGUUCUAUCUCCGCACUCUUUUGGUUUAGGCAACACUCUGUUGUGAGUGAGAUUUAGCUGUUCAAGCCCUGUUAGGCAUUCUACUCUCUAGGGAAGAAACUCUCGCUCAGCUCUAUUUUGUUUCUCUUACUCAUUGUUUAACUCUGAGCUCUUCAGUCAUGCAUUUGCUGCGACAAAAUGAAGUUAUGUAUCUCUUUCCUUGAUGUUUAAUAAUAGGGUAUUGUUCCCUUCCAUAUUUGGAUUGUGGUAAUUAAAGUUAAUACGAACACGCCUUUUCAUGAUUUCAUUUUACAUUUUUUUUCAUAAGCAAAGUUCAUUACUUGGUGAUAAUUUGAAGCAAUCAUACGAUCUUUAACCCAAAAUGUCACAUUGAAGAAGAGGGAGCAAGGAGAAGUUAUAUCUACAGACUCAAAAACAUCAUUAUUCUUACAACCCAAGGGCACCUAGAGGCGUUUUCCCCUGACCAGCCUCAAAGUAAAAGAUCAACAUUGCAAGCAUAGCAAGCCUCGAGUGCUUAAUCUCCGCAAGCUUCAACCGCUCCAGCUUCUCCCUGUCUGGCUCGUACACACCGUCGCGCGACUUUCCGGCAAGACCCAACGGAUCAAAGAAUCUUCCACCUGGAUAUCCUUGAUCACCAGUGUAGUUAGCGAAAUUCUCAGCGGUCCUCGACCAAGGCGUCGCCCACUCAACAGACUGAGAGUCCGGGUUGAAGAAGUCCACCCACCGUUUGCUCUCCACCCAGCCCAUGAGAAGCAGCUGGGUCCCAAGAAGUGACCCGAAAGAGAAAGGUGCGAUGGCACGUGGAUCAGCUCCAGCUUCGAACCAUGGCACCCCGCUCCAUGCCUGACCAACGAAGAUCCCAAGAACAGCUGCCAUCGCCCAUCGGCCGUGGAUCAGCUCUGCCUCUCUGUACCAUUUCAGAAAAGCCGGGUCCUUUCCUAAACCCAAUGGGUCGAACCCGAAGUCUCCGGGUAGCCUAUCAAAACCAUUCACAUCACAUGUGACUCAGAAAAUUCUUAACUUUUUUGAGAUUCAGUCUACAAAUGAUCGUUCAUGAAACGUUGAGUUUUGAGUGAAUAGACUUACGAGCCGUCGAGCCAUUCAGGGUCAAGAAAGUUGCCGCCACCUUUCACGGCGGGGGUCAAUUAUUUCGUCUUUUUAUUUUCUUUCUUGGUGUAUGUGGGACCCACAGGAAUACUUAUGUGGCAUCAUGGAGUCUUUGUGCUUUGUCUCCAAGCGAAAGUAGCGUCUGAACUGUACGCGCGAGGAGCGAGAUUGUUUUUUUAUUCCUUGCUUGACGGUUCGGUUACAUCCACUGUAUAUGCAGUUUCGGGAUAAUUUUGUGGACGUGUGAGGUCUUUCUUAUUGUCAUCACUUUCACGCUUAAUAUGGAACUUCAUAGCGUUAUAAUGCCAUAUUGCCAUUGUAGUAUAAGGUAUACAUAGACAGAACAUUGUAAUCUGUACUUAUUUUCCCUUUUACAGAGAUGUUUUAAAGUUUAAAUUAUGUAUAUUGUAUACUGAUAUCUAUUCAUAUUUACUUUGUAUUUUUUUUUUUUUGCACAAAUCAAUGUUAAGAUUGACAAAAGUAUUUUUAAACAAACCAGUUCCCAUGAAAUGGUCGGUUAGUUAUAAAAUACUCCAUCGCCUAUUGGGCCUCAUGGGUUUAAAUAGAAAAGAGUAAAAAAUCAAUGGGCUUUUCUCACAUGUCCUUCAUCGGACACAUUCCGCAAAAGAUGAGUAGUUUCAUUUCAGAAUUAUAUCCGGUUUAUCAGACUUCGCCUGAACCGGGAAAAGUCUUAAACAUUUCAUUUCAACAAACCCGGAUUCACUGUAAAUCCAUAAUCGUCGUCGUCAUCAUCAUCCAAAGCCCUAAAUCCUUCGAAGCAGCCACAACCAUGGCGUCUCUUCUCGCCAGACGUCAACGAAGGCUCCAAUCAAACCCAUCUCUCUUUCGUUUCUUCUCCAACUCCUCAUCAGACCCACCUCCCCAAUCCGCUGAAAAGCCCUCCCAGCCACCACCGCCACCGUCGUACUCUUCUCCCUUCACCGACAUCAAGUCCACUCUGAAGCAAAAAAUACAGCAGGAGCAAGAGAGAAAGCCAUUCGCUGGAUCCUCCGACGCCCAAUCUCCGAAUCGCGGAUCGAGUAGUACAUUCUCCGAUCACAAGUCACGCGGGUCUCUAGAGGAUCUGGGAAUCAACCUCGCCAAGUUCCAGCGUAGAACCACCGCCGCUCCACCUCCGAGGGAUUCGUCGCAGUCUCGGCCGCACAUUUCCUUCGAGGCGCUCUAUAAGCAGAACGUGGUAGCGGAUCCUCGGAAUCGCAAAGCGGAGGAGAUCGAUUCGAGUAACUUAUGGGAAAAUUUGAAGACUUUGAAGUCAAAGUCCAACGCUUUGAACAACGGGGAGAUGAAAGGAGUGUCCUUUCGAAGUUUCAAGAGCACUUUGAAGGGAAACGCUGGAAGAGGAGGAGAACCAUUGCCGGCGUCAGUCUUCGGGAAUGAAAGGGAAGGUGAAACAGAGGAGAUGACGACGGAGUUUCUGAAGAUUUAUAGGGAAGAUGAGUUGGGUGAGAAGCUAAGGAGGCUUAGGCCAGAGGGGAAGAAAGAAGAAGGGUGGUUCUCGUUGGAGGAGUUGAAUGAGAGGUUGGUUAAGCUAAGGCAAGUGGAGGAGAAAGAGGUUUAUAAUCAGCGUGGGAACGUGUCUGUAAUCAGAAAUGUUAUUGGAACGUUUCGGAAUGAGGCAGCCAUCAAUGAAGCUAUUUCCCGUACGUUCUAAGCCUCUGAUGACUCUCUGUGAGCUUCGUUAUUGGUUUUGAUUUUGUUGUCUGUAGCGAUGUAUUGCUGUUGAAAUGACAUUUUAUGUCGUCUGAGGACUAAGGAGGUUUAUGUGAUUGCAGAGCAGAAUCAGGACAUUAUGGGAUAUUUGGAUGGUACCCCUGAAUACAAGCUUUAUCCUCCAAAAGAUGAUCUUGUUGAUACUGUAAGUUUCUUUUGCUCUUGGACCUUGCAGCUAGUAGUGUGUCAAUCUAAUUAGUUGGAAACAAAAGACUUCUUUGGUCUAUGAUGGUUUUACACAAUGCUCUUGUUGAUCUGUUGUGACCAUUGAAUAAAAUGUGGGUAUAGAUGGUUUUAUACAAUGCUAUUGUUGAUCUGUUGUGACCAUUGAAUAAAAUGUGGGUAUUGAUCUGUUUUUAUGUGACUUCAUCAACGAAGUACUUCCACACAGAUAAUCUGUCAUCUGCGGAGAAGAUGAAAAUCGAGCUCACGAAAGUCAGGGAAGAUUUCAAGAUGUCGGAAUCUGAUUGUGGGUCUGCACGUGUGCAAGGUAAAUUCUAUGUAUAAGGCGAAUGGUUCUGAGACGGUUUUGGUUAGAUUGUCUUUUGAUGUAUCCGGUCUCUCCUUUGUAGUUGCGCAGCUCACUACUAAAAUCAAGCAUCUAUCCUCUGCUCUGCACAAGAAGGUAAAACUUCAAAGUUUAUAUCGAUAUUCUUUAUGUACCCCCUAAUGCCUUACCCUGUGGCUGUAUAACCGCAGGACAAGCACUCUCGGAAGGGACUUUUUGCUAUGGUGCAGAAACGGAAGAAGCUACUGAAAUAUCUAAGACGAACUGACUGGGAUUCUUAUUGCCUUGUCCUGUCAAAACUCAGCCUUCGUGACAACCCGGAUUACAAGUUCUAAGCUUUGUGCACUAAGAACCCCAUGGUUCUAUCUCCGCACUCUUUUGGUUUAGGCAACACUCUGUUGUGAGUGAGAUUUAGCUGUUCAAGCCCUGUUAGGCAUUCUACUCUCUAGGGAAGAAACUCUCGCUCAGCUCUAUUUUGUUUCUCUUACUCAUUGUUUAACUCUGAGCUCUUCAGUCAUGCAUUUGCUGCGACAAAAUGAAGUUAUGUAUCUCUUUCCUUGAUGUUUAAUAAUAGGGUAUUGUUCCCUUCCAUAUUUGGAUUGUGGUAAUUAAAGUUAAUACGAACACGCCUUUUCAUGAUUUCAUUUUACAUUUUUUUUCAUAAGCAAAGUUCAUUACUUGGUGAUAAUUUGAAGCAAUCAUACGAUCUUUAACCCAAAAUGUCACAUUGAAGAAGAGGGAGCAAGGAGAAGUUAUAUCUACAGACUCAAAAACAUCAUUAUUCUUACAACCCAAGGGCACCUAGAGGCGUUUUCCCCUGACCAGCCUCAAAGUAAAAGAUCAACAUUGCAAGCAUAGCAAGCCUCGAGUGCUUAAUCUCCGCAAGCUUCAACCGCUCCAGCUUCUCCCUGUCUGGCUCGUACACACCGUCGCGCGACUUUCCGGCAAGACCCAACGGAUCAAAGAAUCUUCCACCUGGAUAUCCUUGAUCACCAGUGUAGUUAGCGAAAUUCUCAGCGGUCCUCGACCAAGGCGUCGCCCACUCAACAGACUGAGAGUCCGGGUUGAAGAAGUCCACCCACCGUUUGCUCUCCACCCAGCCCAUGAGAAGCAGCUGGGUCCCAAGAAGUGACCCGAAAGAGAAAGGUGCGAUGGCACGUGGAUCAGCUCCAGCUUCGAACCAUGGCACCCCGCUCCAUGCCUGACCAACGAAGAUCCCAAGAACAGCUGCCAUCGCCCAUCGGCCGUGGAUCAGCUCUGCCUCUCUGUACCAUUUCAGAAAAGCCGGGUCCUUUCCUAAACCCAAUGGGUCGAACCCGAAGUCUCCGGGUAGCCUAUCAAAACCAUUCACAUCACAUGUGACUCAGAAAAUUCUUAACUUUUUUGAGAUUCAGUCUACAAAUGAUCGUUCAUGAAACGUUGAGUUUUGAGUGAAUAGACUUACGAGCCGUCGAGCCAUUCAGGGUCAAGAAAGUUGCCGCCACCUUUCACGGCGGGGAUCCAAGAUUUCUUGGGCUGAGCAGCCGCAGCAGCGACAAUGAGAGUUUUCCGACCAACUCUCGGAGCUCCAGCGCCUACGUUGUUUCCCAACGCGGCGGCACUCCUCUUGCCUCCGGCGAGGAAGGAAGAACCAAGCCCGCUGAGCACAGCUCCGGAGACAGCCAUCGCCAUGAG
rnacentral:lncRNA from 1 species